rnacentral:lncRNA from 1 species
AAUGAUAAAUGAACACAUAAUAUUGGACACAAAUACAAUACCAUGGGUAGUUUUGACAUUUCAUCCAUAAAAUAGGGCAGUUUUGUAAAAUCCCUAAAACCCUUGCAAUCAUUUUCUCUAUUCUCUUUCUUCUCCAUCGUAUCCUCACCACCAACCAUCCUAUCGUCCUUUUCUUCUUCUUCUUCCAUUUUCAACCACCUUUCUUCCCUGCAAGAACAACCACACCCACAACCAUGUCGUUGAGCUUAACUUGUGCGCCGUCGUAGCUAUUUCCGGCCAAAUCUCUUUCAGAUCCGAUCAGUGUUUGUCAGUCGGUGUUCAAAUCUGAAUUGUAGGGCUUUUGCAGAAAUGAGAAGAAGGACGCUCGUUGUUGGUUGUGGUGGUCAGAUCUGAGUUGAUCAGAGAAGAUGGUGGUCGGACGGUGGUCGGGCGGUGGGGAGAGAGACAUGGUGGAGAGAGAGUGUCACAUAAGAGGAAAAGACAAAAGGAAAAAAAAAACUUGGACGUAUAAAUACCGUAUAAACAUACGGUCAACAAUAUUUGGUGUCAAAUUUGUUUUGUAAUUUGAUGUCUGGUUAUCAUUUCUCUUAAAAAAAAUGACAACUAAAAAGAAACGGAUAGAGUAAUUCUCAAAGGUUCAACUUUUUCUCAUUUCUCAAUGUCUCUACUUAGUCUAUCAAAAACACGUUGUAAUGAAGUCUAAUACUCCCUCCGUCCCAAAUUGUAUGUCACUUUAGAAAAAAUAUUUGUCCCAAAUUGUAUGUCACUUUAGAAUACCAAUGAAACAUUAAUGUUACUUUUUCUAUUAUAUCCUUAACUAUUUAUUACUCUUUCUUUUUUCAAUUCUUUCAUUUAUCUUUAUCAUAUCAUUUAUUAAGGAUAAUUUUGUAAAAUAACUCAUAAUAUCUCUUUCUCACACAAUAUUAAUUACAUUUCUUAAAAUGUGUGAAAUGCCCAAAACGUCAUACAAUUUGGGACGGAGGGAGUAUAACACAACUAGUUAGUUUUGCAUAUUAAAUGAGAACCACAACUAUCAUGCAUCAUCUAAUAAUUUUCCAACAAUUCAAAUUUCUCCUAACCCAAAAAAUGUUAUUUUGAAUAUUAUAGAAAAUGUAAUGAUAACGGAUAUCAUAAAGAUAUUUUUUAAGAAAUUCAUAAAACAAAUUGUAAAAAAAAGAAAGAAGAAAUUUAUAACAAACUGUCUUAGAAAUACUAGCCAGUCAAAUAAAUACACAACUUUUUAUUUAGAAGUUACUUCUUUUAUUACUUAAACAAUGUCCUAAGGACCAUAAAAAAAUCUUAAAAACUGGUGGUGUAUCAGCAAAAAAGGUUUGGAAAUAGUAAUUCACUUACCUUACGAGUGCCUGUUCUGGGGUAGUUGGCCCAACAAGUUUCUUUGACAGUCUUGUCUUGGGAAAAAAGAGGGGAAAACACAUCCCAUGUGAUUUUUAUUUUAUUUUUUUACUUAGAAUUCCACGUGAAUUUAGAAUUAUAUGUAUAUAUCACAAAAAAAAAGUUUGAAAUAUUUGUCUCAAUAUUAUUUAAUAGCCAUGACAUUAAUGUGAAGUACCAAUUGGCUCUGUCAAUGACCACUAUAGAAAGUUUGACUAACCAUCUUUAGUAAUUGUCUCCUCAUUUGCAUUUUUUUUAAACAUGUUAAACAAAUUUUGAAAAAUGUUAAACACUCAUUUGCAUCUUUAAUUAACUAUAACUUUUCGCUACCAUUAACAUUCAUUUGCAUUUUUUUUUAAAUGUAAACAAAUUUUGAAAAACAUUCUUGAGAAAUAUAUAUUUUUUUCCAAACACACGAGUAAAAAUGUUAUUUCUAGGAAUCAUAUCAUCUCAAUGAAUGUAAUUUCAAACAUAGCACAAACGAAAAUGUAGAAAUCUCUUGUAGGAAAAGUAUGUGAAUUCAAGAAAUUAAUUAUGCAGUUGCACAUACACCGUGGUGGUUCCCACAAAAAUGUAGAAAUGAAAGUUUAAGUUGAGGAAAGUCAAACUUAAACUCAAACUCAAAGCAUGAAGAAAAACAUGAAAACAAGAUUAAGCUUCUCCACCAAAAUCCACAAUCCCAAUCACAAAAUCCAAACUUCCACUUUACUCAUUUUCCCAAUCCAAACAUUCCUUAUACAACUUCUCUGUUCAUCUCUAACCCCAGUCUCAUCUAACCAAACCCCCCCACCACUUCCAAUCCUCCCUCUCCCAACAGCAUUCCAGCUCCAAUGGCAAAAUUCCAACAUGGCCCUUUUCUUCCACUUCGGCACAAACACCUUCACUGACUCCGAAUGGGGUACAGGUCAAGCUCAUCCAACAAUCUUCAACCCAACAAAACUCAACGCUUCUCAAUGGAUUCACGUUGCUAAAGACACUGGUUUUUCAAGGGUUUUGUUAACUGCUAAGCAUCAUGAUGGGUUUUGUUUGUGGCCUUCUGAGUAUACUGAUUAUUCGGUUCGGUCCAGUGGUUGGAGAAAUGGGAAUGGUGAUGUUGUUGCUGAUGUUGCUGCUGCUGCUGGAGAGGCUGGUGUUGGGUUUGGGAUUUAUCUUUCUCCGUGGGAUCGGCAUGAACUGUGUUAUGGUGAUACCUUGCGGUAUAAUCAACAUUACUUGGCUCAAAUGACUGAGUUGCUCACUAGGUAUUUGUUGUUUUGACUUGGUUGAUCAUUUUGGGUUUGUUUGGAUAAACAACUUAUUUGCAGCUUAUAGCACACACGUUCAUAAGGUGUUUUUAUAGAAAAAGAUAAAACAGAGUUGAAUUGUUUUUGUAUGUGAUAUAAUUAAUAAGCUAUAUUGGAGAACUUAUGAAAAUAAGCCAAAAAAAGCUUGUGAAAAUUGUUUUGACAAAAUUUAUGUCAAUAGAUAAGCCAAUUCAAACAGGCUCUUAAUCUUUCAAUUUUGUGCUUAAGGAGUAGAAGCUAAGUUUAUUUUAUGUCUUCAUUAUUGCCCAAUUAGUUGAAUUUUAAUUGUUUUAUGAGUUAUUAGCUUCCAUCUCAUUAUUAUCACUAGGAUCUAGCGUGAGUGGUAAGUGCGCAAAAAAGUGUGUUAGUAUUUUAAACAUCGGGUUAUUGAGUUCGAUUCCUAACAAUCUUAAAAAGCUUCCACCUUGUUGUUACAACAAUUAGUUUUUUUAGCUCUUUUUUUUGAAAGAAAUUAGUUUUUGUAGUUAUCAAGCUAGUUAUUAUGACUGUUAUAUGUAUGUUCAUGUGAUCAGUUAGCGUUUUUCUCUUCUUCACGUUUAACCCUGUGGUUUCUAAGGAAAAAGGGUUGUUAUAAUCCGGGGUCAUUGUAAUGCAUAGUUUGACUGGUAGGUAAGAAAAGUCUGGCAAAACAUGUUUUCAACUAGGGAUUGAACUUGGUUGUUCCCACUGAAGCUUAUUAACCACUUUAGCCCAACCACUUGGUUGGUUAGUUUUUUAUCCUUUUCAACUGGUAUUAAUUUAUUUAAGAAAUGUAAUUGUUUUACAAACUUGUAAUUAAUAUGUUACUUAUUGGAAGUAACUCUUGAAACAAACACUAGUGUAAAGUAAGCUUGUAACUGAAUUCUGAAGUAAUAAAUUUAGGGUGUGUGCUCAGUAUAUUUAAGCUAAAAGUUAUGAAGUAAGCCCGUACAAUUAACUUGAGAAUAAGUACAUCCUUUCUAUUUUAGAAUCAUGCUAGUUUUAAAGGAUCUUUUUUCUUUAAAACUAUACUUGAUUUUUAUUUUUAUAUUGAGGAAGUUGAUAUUUGUGAUUGGUUUGGAUUGACCAAUUUGGUUUCUUUCCGUUUGACAAUGUAUUGCUAAUACAAUGUGCAUUCACUUUUGCAUUUAAACCAGGUAUGGAGAGAUAAAGGACGUUUUUCUGGAUGGUGCUAAAGGAGAAGGGGAGAAGAACAUGAAAUAUUUCUUUGAGAGUUGGUUUUCUCUCAUUCACCAGCUCCAACCAGGUGCCGCCAUUUUUUCUGAUUCUGGUCCUGACACAAGGUGGGUUGGCAAUGAACAAGGGGUUGCUGGAUCCACUUGUUGGUCUCUUUUCAACCAGUCCGUCAUUGAAAUUGGUGGCGUUGACAAUGAUCCACAGUGAGUUCUCUUUCAUACUAACACUCCUAAUAUAGUUUCCUUGGCUUUCGCAUUGGUUGGUUCAUUAUGUCCUUGUUUGAAAUUAUCUCGGAUUCAAAAAUCUGUUACAUUGUCAGUCAUCAUUAUAUAAUUAAUGCAUUUUUCAUUAAAAAAAUUUAAAUAGUCUUGGAGUUGAAUCGUUGCAUUAUUCGUCCAUCGGGAUUGAAAGGAUUUAACUUACCCUGAUUAAGAGGAUUUAUUGAUCUCAAAUGAAGUUGAAGCAUGCAAGUUUCAAUCAUUUUUCUUUGCGUCAGGAUGUAGAUGGGUAGAAAUGGGAUUUGAAUUUCCUGUUGUCAAGAGAUUUACAGCAUUAGAUUAAUUACUUUUAUCUUUCUCUUGUAACUAAAGACUGCAUGAAAUCCAAUGCUGUGUAAAUUCACUGACUGUGUGACAGUGUGUUCUCUUCACAUUGACAACAUGGAAUCCAAACCCUAAAAAUGAUUUAGUGUCAUGGUUGCAUAGCGUGAGAGGUCCAUUUGUUGCAACUCAGAUUAGGCUUGUUUGGAUUGGCUUAUUUGAGCUUAUCUACUGACAUAAACACGAGACUGUUUGGGAGAGUUUAUGAAAACAUCUUAUGACAUAUUGUCCAUAGCUAUUUUCAGCUUAUUUCCAUAAGCUCUACAUGAUAGCUUAUUAAAACAACAUAUAUGAAAACAAUUUGACUUUAAUUUAUCUUUUGUUAUAGAAAUAGCUUAUACAUCAUAAAGUGUUUAUGUGAUAAGUGCUUAUAAUUUAGCUGUUUAUCCAAAUAGGACUUAAGAUACCUACUUAUUAAUGUUUUGGGGAUCUAACAGAUACCAAAAGCAGGGAGAUCCAUUUGGUCUUGAUUGGGUGCCUGCACUUUGUGAUGUCUCUAUCAGACCUGGUUGGUUUUGGCAUGCUUCAGAGCAUCCAAAGUCUGCAAGGAAACUACUUGAAAUAUACUAUAAAUCUGUUGGUCGAAACUGUAAGCUAUUAUUGAACGUCCCCCCAAAUUCAUCAGGCCUUAUUUCAGCUGAGGAUAUCCAAGUUCUUCGAGAGUUCAGUGAACUCCGCCAUUCCAUAUUUUCCCACAAUUUUGCUGCAAGUGCUUCCCUUAAUGCCAGCAGCACAAGAGGAGGAAUCCAAGAUACUCGCUUUAGUCCCAACAAAGUUCUUGAAGAAGGUAUACACACUUAUUGGGCUCCUGAGGAGAACCAAUCUAAAUGGAUAUUGUACAUAAAUCUCAAAAAACUAGUAUCCUUUAAUGUUCUGCAAGUUCAAGAACCUAUUCAUAUGGGACAAAGGGUGAUUAAGUUUCAUCUGGAGGCAUUGAACCGAGACGGUUUAUGGAAGAGUGUUGUAAAUGGCACCACAAUUGGAUAUCAGAGGCUGUUACUGUUUCCGAAACUAAAAUCUCAGUAUUUGAAGCUAGUUGUUGACAAGUCAAGGGCAGAACCUUUGAUAUCUUACUUAGGAAUCUAUUUGGACCCAGUUACAGUUUUGAGUGAGGACAUGCCUGAUAAAAAAUCAGGUACAUAUUUCAAUGGAACCCAAGUUCUUCGCAGUGCCAUGAAAAAUGAUUCUCAAAGUGCUACAAUGUAAACUUUGAUGUCGUCGAUUUGUUUGUAAUUGUAAAAUUUGAAAAUAUUUUAAAAGGUGUGUCCACGUUCGAUUUUCCUAUUGUUUAUAAUCUUCAAGUGUGGAGUCAACCAUGAAUAGCAUGAGCUAAUGGAUUGUUGAGAAUUUAAGAGAUAAUAGAAGCAAAAAUGCCAAGAAUUUGAGAGUGGCUCAGGGAAAAACAAAUGUGUUUUAUUCAUUAUUCCAAUGUUCACAAGGAAAUGACAUUAAUGUUUAGACAACAAGAAUGUGAUUUUGGUUUUGUGCUGAGUGCAUCAUAUCAGUUUCCCUUGCAUCCAUUCUUGUAACAUCUGAAGUGCAACUUUUGGUUGAUCCAUAGGAACCAUGUGACCAGCCUCUUUCAACUAUUGUUCCAAAAAGCAUAAAAUAAUUAAAAAUACAAGUGAAUCAAUAGCUACAAAGCACCAACAGACACACACAUACAAUAGACACAACACCAAUGUUGACAUGUAGACAUCUGCGAAAUAAAAGGAUCAGAUGUAAAUACUUCUAUCGGUGUGGGACACGACAUAUGUCGAACACCAGACAAACUUUUAAUUUGAAGUGUCUGUACAUUGUAGACGAAUAGCCGCUUAUGCUCAUGAAUACAUCCUUAAACUACCUUGCGGAAAGCCAAUGGUCCAUGGCUUUUCAGAAUUCCUGCUUCUUCACUAUCAACCAAAAACGGAGUUGUAGGAGACUCCUUAUAUGCUGUCUGACCUGACCACUUCAUGGCAUCAAUCCACCUUGAAUUCCCUACCAAAUGAGAAGCACAUUUAGAAUUCUAACUAACUAAAUUUCAUCAAAUUUUUUGACACAAACAAUUUUGGUUCCAAAUUAAUUCAGCUUAGUUAAUGAGCUUUAGUUAAUGGCAAAUAGUUUAGGGGAAUCUUAGUUCGGAUUCUGCCUAAAAGAAUAAUUGGUCAGCCAUUACCAACCUCUCGACGGAAUUUCAAAUUAAUAGGGGCCCUUUCCCUAAAAACCAAAGAAUUAAGACUAGAGAAAUAAACUAAGCUUACCAAGCCAAUUGCAUAUUAGAUCUUUUUCUCCGGCAUACACAAGUAACUUGAUUCCAUCCUCAAGAAGAGCAGGAAUACCCACUUCAAGAUUUUUCAUCCAAUCCUGCAACAUGGUAUUGUAUACUGUGCUACUGCAAGAAACAAAUUCCAAGUCCCCAACACCUAAAGCUUCCUUUACUAUCUUCAUGUUCAAGAACGUCUCUAUGCCGGAGAAGUAAAAACAAUGAUCUCCCUCACAUUUCUUUCUGAUGUCGUAGCACUGCAGUUUGAAUAACAUAAUGCAUUAGUGUAUUCAAACUUCAUUAUUUUCAUACAAUCUUUACCUUAUACUUUUAGUGCUAAUUUUCUUUUUUCGACAGCAUACAUUAACGUUGUCGGUGUUGUUUAUGAUCUGAAUAAAUAUGUUCAUACAAAUACUUAAUGAAGUCACGCAUGCAUCUCCACCUUCAGUGCCUGACAGAUAAAUUAAGAGUGUCGAUGAGAAAAAAUAACACGCGACUUGUACAAUAAGUUGGUAAAAUUCUCUCUUCGUGCUAAGUGAGUUUUGACCGAGAAAGGGCAAAGAGAUCAAUGUUCUACCACAUGUUUCUGUCGCCUCUUGACAUGGUGGGAUCAACUUGUUGAUUCUUUCAUAUUCAUCCUUAUUAAUCAGUCCAUUGUCUAAUGCAUAAUCUGUAUAUGACAUGUACUGAAUUUCAGGAUUGGUUAAUCCAUUACCAAUAGCAAAGCCCUGUUUAUUAAUCACUUACUAAUCCAUUACCUUUGAUAUCUAUUUGAAAUAUCUUACUGAGAAGUAGUAUAAAGGAUGGAAGGAGUUAAUACAAUUAAAGUGAUUAGUUUACAUUAUAUUGAUAUAAUUUUUUGAGAAAAGUUUACCUUUUCAUAAAUAUAAGUUACAUUAUAUGACAAUGUAAUAAUACCUUUAGAUUUAUAUGAAUUCCUUCUUUUGCUUUGUUUCCUUGGUGAACUCUGGAUGCAAAAGCUGGAACGUAAUGUCCAGCGUAUGACUCUCCGGUAAUAUAAAAGUCAUUCUCAGCGAACUGAGGGUGUUCCUUAAAAAAUGUCUGUUAUUGUAAAAAUUUAAAUUGAGCUUAUGUUUGCACAACAUCAUAGUGUAACAUACAAUUUCAAAAUUAAAUAUAAGUACUAACUAACUAUGAAUCAUAUUGUCAAAACAAAACAAAAAAACUAUGAAUCAAGUUUAACCACUUAAUACGAAUGAUUAAUUCAAUUCAUAUGUUAUUUUGAUAUUAUAUUCUUUAAUCACUUAACAAAUCAAGUUACCUGCAAGAAAAUAUAGAUCAUUGCUAACACCGUCUUCAUCAUGUCGAUAGUCACUAUCAUCAGUGGUAUAGCUGAAACCUGAUCCAAUGGGUUGGUCUACAAAUAUAAUAUUUGAUGCCUACAAAAGAGAAAGAAAAAAGUAUAUAUUGCAAGAUGAUUAUGUAUCAGUGAGAACUAAAGUGGAAAAGAGAAAAGGGAAUAGUGAAUAGCAGCUACCUUGUCCCAUCCAUAUUCAUUCCAAACAAGGGACAAGUUCUUGUCCUUUGAGAACUGAAAUGGUCCAUUUUCAUAAAACAAGGCAAUUUCACUGCCGCAUCCAGGACCUCCGGUUAACCAUAUGACGACAGGGUCAUCCUUACUGUUUCGAGAUUCAAAGAAAAAAUAGAACAUCCUGCAAUUGGCAUAACAAAUUGUUCAAUGGAAAUAUGUCCAUGCAAACGUUAUUAUGAUGUGGGGUGACAUAAAGUGAUAAAAUAUUUACCUAGCAUGACCAGGAACGAAGAAGACUAUAAUACCCUGCAUGAUGACCAAGUUCUUCAACAGAAUAACCAGGGUCAUCAAAACCAGGGAAAGUGAACUUUUUCUCCACAAUGUUUCGAUAGAGGACAAGAGGAUCAUUCUCUGGUAUGUUUAUGGAACUUUUAGGAAAAAGGUUAAGUCCUCUUAUGAGAGUUGAAGAAAGGAGAAUGUCAUUGUUUUUGGGAUGCAGUUGAAGAAAGGAGAAUGAAGGUGAAAUGAAGAAGAGGAAGUGCAAAAACAUUGUAAAAGACAGACACAUUUUGAGGAACCUUAAAGAUGAUGCCAUGUUGUUUUGUUUUUGUUGAAAAAAUGGAAGAAAUGGAUGUGAAUUUAUAGUGCAAGAGAUGUGAAAUUUAUCCUCUUUUAUUUAGGUUGCCAAUUUGGGAUAAAAAGAUCAAACAUUGAUAUGCAUUUUAAUUUUUAAACUAUUCUACCACAAUAUAUAUGCCUCAACCAUUUCUUGUCUGUGAUUCUGUGAAGCAUCAUUGCUAUGCUGGAAAAGAAUGGUAAUAUCUCAUGUUAUGAAAGGAGUUAUUUAAUCUCCCUAUAUAUUUUUUUCCUCGUCGAAAACACUUUGAAUGUUGAGAACUUGAAUUUCUCGGUGUUCCCUUUUCAGGUCAAGUAAUCUUUUCCACUUCUCCACAAGAACAUUACUUUGACUGCCCAUACCAACUGAGCUCUGAGAGGGUUGGCCAAACAUACCUCGAUGCAACGGUAACAUUUAGCAAUUGUAAGUACUAUUAUAUCAUUAACUUAAUUUCCUUUUCCUACUCCUCUAUCUGUCUUCACUUCACUCUUCAAAAUAAGCAAGAUUUCUAAACCAGCCAUAUAUAUAAAUUUGUGUAUGUGAAAUAGUCAUUGAAGAGAAAAGGGAAAAUAUGCACAGAAAGCAACCACCUAAACUUUCAUGCUCAGAUUUAGACAGACAACUAAAUAGGUAAUACUGAUGCUCCCUCCGUCUGACAAUUUGGGGAAUAAAAAUCAUGUAUUUUUAAGGAAGGUUCAGAAGGAGUGGAUUAUGGUUUACAAGAAAAUGUUUCAGUGUCAUCUGAUAUAGAAGAUCAAGGGUGUAUUUCCUUUGGUUUAGAAGAAUACCAGUAGGAGACCUAGCAAUUUCUAAACCAAGAAAAUAUCUAAGUUUACCCAAGUCUUUAAUUUUAGAACAAUUUGACUUUAAUUUAUCUUUUGUAAUAGAAAUAGCUUCUACAUCAUAACUGUUUAUGUGAUAAGUGCUUGUAAUUUAGUUGUUUACCCAAACAGGACUUAAAAUAGCUACAUAUUAAUGCUUUGGUCGAAACUAUAAGCUAUUAUUGAAUGUCCCCCCAAACUCAUCAGGCCUUAUUUAUGCUGAGGAUAUUCAGGUUCUUCGAGAGUUCAGCAAACUCCGUUGCUCCAUAUUUUCCCACAAUUUGGCUGCAAGUGCGUCCCAAAAUUCCAGCAGCGCAAGAGGAGGAUUCCAAGAUACUCGCUUUAGUCCCUACAAAGUUCUUGAAGAAGGUAUACACACUUAUUGGGCUCAUGAGGAGAACCAAUCUAAAUGGAUACUAUACACAUAUCUCAAAGAACUAGUAUCCUUUAUUGUUCUGCAAGCUCAAGAGCAUGUUCAUAUGUGACAAAGGGUGGUUAAGUUUCAUCUUGAGGUGCUGAACCGAGACGGUUUAUGGAAGAGUGUUGUAAAUGGCACCACAAUUGGAUAUCAGAGGUUGUCGAUGUUUCCGAAACCAAAAUCUCAGUAUUUGAAGCUAAUUGUUGACAAGUCAGGGGCAGAACCUUUGAUAUCAAACUUAGGAAUCUACAUGGAUCCAAUUACAGUUUUGACUAAGGGCAUGCAUGAUAAAAAAUUAGGUACAUAAUUCAAUGGAACCCAAGUGCUACAAUGUAAACUUUGAUGUCGUUGAUUUGUUUGUAAUUAUAAUAUUCGAAUUUUUUUUAAAAGGUGUGUCCACGUCUGAUUUUCCUAUCCUUUAUAAUUCUUCAAGUGUGGAGUCAACCAUGAAUAGCAUGACCUAAUGAAUUGUUUGAGAAUUUAAGAGAUAGUAGAAGGCAAAAAUGCCAAGAAUUUGAGAGUGACUUGGGGAAAAACAAAUGAGUUUUAUUCAUCAUUCCAAUGUUUACAAGGAAAUGCCAUUAAUGUUUAUACAACAAGAAUGUGAUUUUGGUUUUGUGCUGAGUGCAGUUUCCCUUGCAUCCAAUCUUGUAACAUCUGAAGUGCAACUUUUGGUUGAUCCAUAGGAACCAUGUGACCAGCCUCUUUCACCUAUUGUUCCAAAAAAAAAUAUAUAGUUAAAUACAAGCGAACCAAUAGCUACAAAACACCAACAGACACACACAUACACCAGACACACUUUUAAUUUGAAGUGUCUGUACUAUGUAGAUCAAUAGACUCUUAUGCUCAUGAAUACAUCCUUAAACACAAACCUUAAGGAAAGCCAAAGGUCCAUGGCUUUUCAGAAUUCCUGCUUCUUCACUAUCCACCAAAAAUGAAGUUGUAGGAGACUCCUUAAAUGUUGUCUGACCUGACCACUUCAUGGCAUCAACCCACCUCGAAUUCCCUAACAAAUGAGAAGCACAUUUAGAGUUCUAUAACUAACUAAUUUGUAUCUUGUUUAAGAUUGGAAAAAUUAAUUGAGCUUACCAAGCCAAUUGCAUAUUAGAUCUUUUUCUCCGGCGUACACAAGUAACUUGAUUCCAUCCUCAAGAAGAGCAGGAAUACCCACUUCAAGAUUUUUCAUCCAAUCCUCCGUCAAGGCAGCAUGUACUAAGAAACUGCAAUAUUCAAAUUUCAAGUCCCCAACACCUAAAGCUUCCUUUACUGUCUUCAUGUUCAACAAUGUCUCUAUGUCAGAGAAGUCCUGACAAUGACCGAAAGCUCCCUCACAUUUCUUUCUAAUGUCGUAGUACUGCAGUUGGAAUAACAUAAUGCAUUAGUGUAUUCAAACUUCAUUAUUUUCAUACAAUCUUUACCUUAUACUUUUAGUGCUACUUUUCUUUUUUGACAACAUACAUUAGUGUUGCCGGUGAUGUUUGUGAUCUGAUAGAAUAUUUUCAUACAAGUAGUUAAUGCAGUCCCGCAUGCAUGUCCACCUUCAGUGUCUAACAGAUAAAUUAAGAGUGUCAAUAAGGAAAAAUAACACGUGACUUGCACAAUAAAUUGGUAAAAUUCUCUCUUGGUGCUAAAUGAUUUGUGACUGAGAAAGAGAAAAGAGCUCAAUGCUAUACCACAUUUUUUUGUGGCCUUUUGACAUGGUGGGAUCAACUCGUUGAUUCUUUCAUAUUCAUCCUUAUUAAUUAGUCCAUUCUCUAAUGCAUAAUCUGUAUAUGCCAUGUACUGAAUAUCAGGAUUGGUUAAUCCAUUACCAAUAGCAAAGCCCUGUUUAUUAUAAAAGAUGAAAGGAGUUAAUACAAUCAACGUGAUUAGUUUGCAUUACAUUAAUAUAAAGUUUACCUUUGCAUGAAUAUAAAGUUACAUUAUAUGACAAUGUAAUAAUAAUACCUUUAGAUUUAUGUGAAUUCCUUCUUUUGCUUUGUUUCCUUGGUGAACUCUAGAUGCAAAAGCUGGAAUGUAAUGUCCAGCGUAUGACUCUCCGGUAAUAUAAAAAUCAUUCUUUGUGAACUGAGGGUGUUCCUUGAAAAAUGCCUGUCAUUGUAAAAAUUUAAGUUGAUCUUAUGUUUGCACAACAUCAUAGUCUAACAUAAAAUUUGUAGUUUAGAACCAUAGAUAGUUAUGUAAUGUCGUCUUUGAAUUUUAAAAUUAAAUAUAAGUACUACUAACUAACGAUGAAUCAAGUUUAACCACUUAAUUUCUCGUUAUAAAAAAAGUUUAACCACUUAAUUCAAGUGAUUAAUCAAUUAAUAAGGUACUGAACAAAUCAAGUUACCUGCAAGAAGUCAUACAAAUCGUUGCUAAUACUGUCUUCAUCAUGGCGAAUAUCAUCACUAACAUCGGUGGUGUAGCUGAAACCUGAUCCAAUGGGUUGGUCUACAAAUAUAAUAUUUGAUGCCUACAAAAGAGAAAGAAAAAAGUAUAUGUUGCAAGAUGAUUAUGUAUCAGUGAGAACUAAAGUGGAAAAAAGAAAAGGGAAUAAUGAAUAGCAGCUACCUUGUCCCAUCCAUAUUCAUUCCAAACAAGGGACAAGUUCUUGUCCUUUGAGAACUGAAAUGGUCCAUUUUCAUAAAACAAGGCAAUUUCACUACCGCAUCCAGGACCUCCGGUUAACCAUAUGAUGACAGGGUCAUCCUUACUGUUUCGAGAUUCAAAGAAAAAAUAGAACAUCCUGCAAUUGGCAUAACAAAUUGUUCAAUGGAAAUAUGUCCAUGCACACAUUAUUAUGAUGUGUGGAUAGAUAAUAUACAGAAAAGCAUAUUAGUGUCUGUCUGUCCACUUUUAAAAUAAAAAACAUUGAUUAAUAACCUUUUUUUUAGAGGAAUUUAUUAAUAAUCUUGAACUUUAUAAAAGAAAAAAGGGUAGAAAAUACAUUAAAAAAAAGCGCGCGUGCACACACAACAUAAAACAUUUACCUAGCAGCUUUGGAAUGAGGAAGACUAUAAUACCCUGCAUGAUGACCAAGUUCUUCAACAGAAUAACCAGAGUCAUCAAAACCGGGGAAAGUGAACUUCUUCUCCACAAUGUUUCCAUGGAGGACAUGAGGAUCAUUCUCUGGUAUGUUUAUGGAACUUUUAGGAAAAAGGUUAAGUCCUCUUAUGAGAGUUGAAGAAAGGAGAAUGUCAUUGUUUUUGGGAUGCAGUUGAAGAAAGGAGAGCGAAGGUGAAAUGAAGAAGAGGAAGUGCAACAACAUUGUAAAAGACAGACACAUUUUGAGGAACCUUAAAGAUGAUGCCAUGUUGUUUUGUUUUUGUUGAAAAAAUGGAAGAAAUGGAUGUGAAUUUAUAGUGCUUGCUCUACGCAUGCAAAGUUGCUUUAGUUUCAUCAUUAACGGAAAAGUUGAGUUGAGUAUCAAAGGCUUAACUCUAAACUUUUUUGAGACUUUCUUCAAAAAAAUUGAGACUAAAAAUAGAAAAGUUAGUUUCUUUUUCCAAUAAAGAAAAUUUCCAUAAACUACUAAACUUCAAUUCAGCUAAAAAUAAAAGUGUCAUUCAACUAAAAAUAAUCAUGAAGCUUUUGAUCAGUAUCCCGAAAUUCCUACAUGAAAGUCACUUUAAUUAGACUAUGUGGGCCAUUAUUACGUAUCAACUAUGUGGGCCAUUACUACGAAUCAAGUGUGUUGGAACAUUGGUGUGAUGUUGGAAGAAAAAUUGGAAGAUUAAACACCAAAUAAUUAUGAACCACAUACAUCAUUAAAUGAAUGAACCUAAAAAGUGAAUUUUGUUUAUAUUUUAAAACGGAGGGAGUACUUUGAUCUAAUGUUGAAAAAAUAGAGUGUGGGGAUCCCACAUAAAAUAGAACACACACAUUAGUAGUGUUUAAAUUGUGGUAUUUAAUUUUAAAUACUUGAUAAUAAUAAAAAUAAUAGUAAUUUUUAUUUUUAUUUGUGAAUAUCACUUCCUAUAAAUUUAGUUUAUGAUGGUUGUGAUAAGAAUAAGAAUUCAAUUGAAUUUCUUAUCUUUCCUUCAUUCAAAUUUAAUGAGUUUGUUUCCUCCACUUUUGUGGAUUUGUUUCUUUUUUUAUCUUAUCCACAAGUGUUGUUGAACUGAUUAAUGAAUAAAUUUCCUUUUGAUACUAUCCAUUAGAAUAACUGUUGCCGCAAUUUUUGCUAAAAUAAUUACAAAAUUUCUAUAUAAACAGAGGACUCCACUCGGUUCAAAAAUCACACAAAAGAGUUUAUAUUGAGUUGUCGAGAAUUCUUUCUCUCUUCUCCAUCCAGCUUCUGCUGACGAGCUAUUCUUCUCCUCAUCUCCUUUUUUCUAUCCCUUCGAAAAUAAGAGUGUUCUUAAGACCUUAGUCCCUAUUCAGUAUAAUGUCCAUUCGAAAUUAAGAAAGGUCUUAAAAACAUAGCCCUUUUGAUAACAUAUCUCCCUUAAGAAUAAAGAGUGCUUUUAAUAUCAUAGUCCCUUUUGGAACAAUAAUGUCCCGUCGUAAUUAAGAAUGAUCUUAAAAGUAUAUAAAUAUUCUUUCAAUAAUUUUUGAGGUGAAAUUAAAAAGUCGAAAUGGUGGUAUCACCAUAUUUGAGUGGUCGUAGUAUCAUCUUGAUAGUUUGGAGAACUUAAAGUUAGAAUGGACGUAACAUCAUAUUUGAGUGGUCUCAACACCAUUACAAAGUGGUAACAAUAUCAUAUUAAAGUGGUUUCAAUAUUAAAGAGUGGUCUUGGUAACCAUAUUUGAGAGUGUAAAUCUCGAACGGUUUUCUAUAGUAGUUAACCACACAGUUGUAGUUGGACUUGUUUUAUCCAGGAGGUGGCGUGGUUGAUAGUUUGCCUUGCACAACUUUGAACAGUGCCACAAAACGUCUUAAAGAGAACGACAUGGUCGUGACUCAAUCUAGUAACAACUUCGGUAGUUAUUCUUAUUUAAAAAAUAAUAAUUUGGAAAUCCAAAUACAACAGUUUGAAAAUCUAAAAACAACAAACUGCAUAUGAUACAAGUACUCAAAAGUUCAAGAUGCAUUGCAAUAAAGUAGCAAUAAAACACAUUGAUGAUUGAUCCGAAUUGGAUCUAGAGAUUUCAUCCGUGGGAAAGGGUCCAACAUCCCUUCGUAUGAAUUGACGGAAAUUGCACAUGUAAAUAUUCUGACGUUCAAGUAUAUAAGCAAGAAAAGUAAAAUAAUAGGUAAGUAAUGUGAGAAUCGUUUACAUUUGCCUCUAUCAUAAGAGGAUUGAGAGAUACGUGAGGAGCUGGGAUGUUUAUAACCGAGAUUGUAAUUGUAGAAACGUUUCCUUGACCUUCCGCCGUUUUCCUCGCCUCGAGCUUGACAAUUUUUACUAGUUAUUGCUAGCUUGAAGGAGAAGUGUUGGCCAAGUUUUGACAUUUUAGUUGGUCUAGAUCUCUGAUGGAUUGGCGUGGUGACUUCGCAUAUCUAAUGAUGACAUAAAAAAUGACGUCUUAGCCGAAACGUCGGAUUCUGUUGAGUCGCAGCAGACAAUUCGAAUAAUGUUGUCUUAACCGAAACUUUGGAUUUUGUUGAGUCUAGCGGAUAAUUUGAAGAAGAUAUUCUAUCUAAUUAUUAUUUUGUCGAGGAUGUAUGAGAACAAUCCAAUGAUGAUUCUAUUAGAAAAGAUAUUUGGUAUUAUAUUGUCGAAGACAUUUGAUGUUAUACCAAAGAGGAUUCCUUUGAAGAAAAAAAUAAACUUCAUUAUGUUGUGUCAAGGAGAAUAGUUGUCCUCCAACAAGAUGGUUAAAAAAUAUACUCUUCUUUCACGGUAACGUAUCUAUUUAGUUGAAUUAUUUCGUAACUUUUCAUUUGCAUUCGUAGAUUUGCAUGGUAUAAAUGAUUUUUUUUUGUUUUUGUUCUGGAGGGACAUUUGAAUCAUUCUCAUCAUUUUCUUCCGUUUCCUUCUAAAACUCUCUAUAGCUCAUUUGGCUGUUUCCCUUUUCCCAUUGUUAUGUCUAUUAAUCAUAAACUGAGUGCACCUCAUUCAUUAUUGAAUCAUUGUAAAAUAGAAAAAUGAUUACAACCUAAGUGAAGGAGGAGGAUACUCCUUUUAUAUAAGAAAAAGAUUAAUAGAAAACUAAUCACAAACUAAAAACAAACAAAACCGUAAAUUAGUUAGUGAGCCUUAAUCUUAUUCAUUGCCUAUAGUGUAUCUCGUUGAUUUGUUUGUAAUAGUAAAAUUUGAAGACAUUUGUAAUGAAGUUUACACAUUCGAUUUUCCAAUCACUGUUUAUAACUCUACAAGUGUAGAGAAAACCAUGAAGAGCAUAGUCUAAUCAAUUGGUAUUGAGAAUUUAAGAAAAAGUAGGAGCAAAAAUGCCAAAAAAUUGAGUGACUUGGGGAAAAAGAAAUGUAUUUUAUUCAUCCUUCCAAUGUUCACAAGGAAAUGCCAUUAAUGUGUAUACAAUAAGAUAAGAAUGUGAUUUUUGUUUUAAGAUGAGUGCAUUAUAUAGACGAGACAUUAUCUCCUCCCUUUGUCCUUAUCAGUUUCCCUUGCAUCCAAUCUUUUAACAUCUGAAGUGCAGCUUUUGGUUGAUCCAUAGGAACCAUGUGACCAGCCUCUUUCACCUAUUGUUAAAAAAAUAAGGAAGUUAAACACAGGCGAAUCAAUAACUACAGAGCACCGAUACAAUAUCAAUAGUGAGACAUGUAAACAUCAGUAACAAUUUGAGAAAAUAAAAAUGAUCGAAUGCAAAUGCUUGUCUCGAUGUCGAAUCAUGCAUUGAAAACCAAACACACAUUUAGUUUGAAGUGUCAGUGCUAUAUAGAUCAAUCGUCUAAUACACUAAAGAAUACAUCCUUCAACACAAACCUUGAGGAAAGCAAGAGGUCCGUGGCUUUUCAGAUCUCCUGCUUCUUCACUAUCAACCAAAUAUGGGGUCGUAGGAGACACCUUAAAUUCUUUUUGACCUGACCACGUCAUGGCAUCGACCCACCUUGAAUUCCCUGCCAAAAUGAGAAACACAUUUAUAAAUCUAACCAACAUAUUUGUGUAUUCUAUUUUGACACAAGCAAUUUUGGUUUCAAAUUAAUCAAACUUAUAAUUAAUGUGCUUCAGUUAAGGACAAAUUAUUUAAGAGAGCCGGACUUCAAAUUCUGAUUAGAUUUAUUGCAGAACUUUACUUACUUUCCACCCAAACACUUGAUUGCCCGGUUCCCCUUGGGAACUGGUGGACUAACACCAAAAAAGUAAUCGAACUUACCAAGCCAAUUGCAUAUGAGAUCUUCUUCUCCAGCAUACACAAGCACCUUGAUUCCAUCCUCCAGAAGAGCAGGAAUACCAACUUCAAGAUUUUUCAUCCAAUCCUGCAACAUGGCACUGUAUACUGUGCUACUGCAAGAAACAAAUUCCAAGUCCCCAACACCUAAAGCUUCCCUUACUGACUUCAUGUUCAAGAAUGUUUCCGCAUUUGAGAAGUCAUAACAAAGACUUCCCUCACAUUGCUUUCUAAUGUCAUAGUACUGCAUUAGGAAUAAACAUAAUGCAUUAGUGAAUCGAAACAACAUAAUUAUCAUACAAUCUUUGUCAAAUACUUUUAGUUCUUUUCUUUUUUGAUAUCAUACAUUAAUGUUGCCGGCUAUGUCCAUUAUCUGAUCAAAUAUUUCACUGCAAAUGCUUCUUGAAGUCAUGCAUGCGUCUCCACCUUUAGUGCCUAACAAAUCAAAUACAAACUAUUAGUGUCAAUAAGGAAAAAUAACAAGUAAAUGGCACAACAAAUUGGUAAAAUGUUCUAUUUAUGACCGAGAAGGGAGAAAACUUAUUAAAAUGUCAUACCACAAGAUUCUAUAGCCUUUUGGCAUCGUGGGAACAACUUGUUGAUGUUGGCAUGUUCAUUCUUAUUAAUUAGUCCAUUGUCUAAUGCAAAAUCUGGAUAUGCCUUGUACUGAAUUUCCGGAUUGGUUAAUCCGUUACCAAUAGCAAAACCCUGUUUAUUAUAAAGGUUUACAAAUUAGUUUACAUUGCAUUGAUACUGUUUUGGCAAAAGUUUACCUUUGCAUGAAUAUAAAGUUACAUUAUAUGACAAUGUAAUAAUAAUACCUUUAGAUUUAUGUGAAUUCCUUCUUUUGCUUUGUUUCCUUGGUGAACUCUAGAUGCAAAAGCUGGAAUGUAAUGUCCAGCGUAUGACUCUCCGGUAAUAUAAAAAUCAUUCUUUGUGAACUGAGGGUGUUCCUUGAAAAAUGCCUGUCAUUGUGAAAUUUAGAGAAUCUUAUGUAUGCACAACAUUAGAGUUUAACAUAAAAUUUGCAAUUUAGAGUUUAUGUAAUGUGAAUCAAGUUUAACCACUUAAUACAAGUGAAUAAUUCAAUAAAUAAAGUAAUCAUUUCAAAUAUUAUUGUGAUAUUAUUUUCUUUAUUCACUUAACAGAUCAAGUUACCUGCAAGAAAUCAUAUAGAUCAUUGCUAACACCGUCUUCAUCAUGUCGAACGUCACUAUCAUCAGUGGUAUAGCUGAAACCUGUUCCAGUGGGUUGGUCUACAAAUAUAAUAUUUGAUGCCUACAAACAAGAAAAUAUGUAUUGACACUAAUUAAAAACAACCUCAAUGCUAAUAAACAAUAACUUGAUUGUUUGAGUUUGUUUGUGUGGACUGGUAUAUGCAUAAAUAUCAUUACUUUUUUUUGUUGUUGUUGACACUCUACAUUGAUUAAACAUAGCAAAACAGGGAAAAUCUAUGUUUGGAUAAACAACUUAAUUAAGUACUUAUAUCAUAAGCGCUUGUCAUGUUAAUGCUUAUGCAUUAGCUAUUUUUACAAUAAAAGGUAAAUAAAGUCAAACAGUUUCAUAAGCUUUAGUUUGGAGCUUAUGAAAAUAAACUGAAAACCACUUAUAGAUAUGACCUCUCAAAAAAAACCUACAGAUAUGUCAUAAGUUGUUUCCAAAAAAAUUCUCAAACAGUCUCACAAUUGUUUAUGUCAGCAAUUAAGCGCAAAUAAGUCAAUCCAAACAUGUCAUUAUUGCAAGAUGAUCAUAUAUGAGUGAGAAAUAAAGUGGAAAAAGAAAAACAAAACAGAGAAUAAUUUAAUAGGUACCAUGUCCCAUCCAUAUUCAUUCCAAACAAGGGACAAGUUCUUAUCCUUGGAAAAUUUAAAAGGACCAUUUUCAUAGAACAUAGCAAUUUCACUGCUGCAUCCUGGCCCUCCAGUUAACCAUAUAACAACAGGGUCAUCCUUAGUGUUUCGAGAUUCAAAGAAAAAAUAGAACAUCCUGCAAUCGACAUAACAAAUUGUUCAAUGGAAACAUGUCUUCGCACACAUUAUUAUGAUGUGAGUUGACAAAAAACCAAUUAAUAUAAAUCAAUAGAGUUGUCAUCAAAUUCAUAUUUUUUAGUUUGAUCUUAGAAGUGAAGAUGUUGUAACAGAUAUUUCAAAUUAUGAAACUUUGACAUAUAUUUUGAUUAAGUUGAUACACGAGUAAUAACGACAUCAAAGACAAGAUAAAAAUAUAUGAUCAAACAAAUAUCCAAUACAUUAAACCAGAUCAAAUGAACCUAAGAAAUCCAAACUAUUCCAUUUUUAAUAAAUUCUUUUCUUGUUUACUUUCACUUUUAUUAUUUUUACUUUAUGCUUUCCAAGAACUAUAUUUUAUUCUGACUAAAGCUUUUCUUACUUUAUGCUCAGAUCAUUUUUUACCGCAAAAAAUUUACCUCAUAUUUCAUUCUAUUUUAUCUUAGUUUGGCCUAAAAUUAAAGGAUAGUCAUAAUCUUUUCUCCUUUUGAUCCAGAACAUACAACAUGAAGCCUUUACCUUGCAGCUUUGGAAUGAGGAAGACGAUAAUAGCCUGCAUGAUGACCAAGUUCUUCAACAGAAGCACCAGAGUCAACAAAACCAGGGAAAGUGAACUUCUUCUCCAUAAUAUUUCCAUGAAGAAAAUGAGGAUCAUUCUCUGGUGUGUUUAUGGAAUCUUUUGGAAAAAGAUUAAGCCCUCUUAUGAGAUUUUCUGCUUGUAAUUUUGGGUAGGAUGCAGUUGAAGAAAGGAGAAUGUCAUUGUUUGUGGGAUAAGCUGGAGAUGAGUAUGAAUGUGAAAUGAAGAGGAAGAACAUCAUAAAAGACAGACACAUUUUGAGGAACCUUAAAGAUGAUGCCAUGUUGCCUUGUUUUUGUUGAAAGAAUGAAAGAAAUGGAUGUGAAUUUAUAGUGCUUGUUCUACGUAUGCAAAAAGUUGAGUUGAGUAUGAGAGAGUUAACAGUUUCCAACAAUUUUCAGGUUGCUUUGUCUUUUGAAAUUAGCAUACAUGCAAUUAUAUUGAAUUGCAUUUCCACCUUAAAAAUUAAGUUAUUUGUUUUUAACUCUAAUUUCAAAAUCUUAUCCGGUCAAAAUAAUAAUAAUCAAUAAUAACCAUAUGGUUUGUCCGACGCUAAAUAUAGCCAUUUCUCUCGACCAGGAUUUAAACUUUGGUUCAUCAUGUUAUAGAAGUUUAGUCUCUUUUGGUAGACUAAACCCUUUGGAUAGUACAACUAUAGAGGUACGAUGAGCUUCGUCGGUGAAAUUGGAAACAGAACCGUCGGAAAACAGAAAUCGCUGGAGAAAUUGGAAACAGAACUGCCGGAAAACAGAAAUCGCAGAUUGGAAACAGAAUCGCCGGAAAACAGAAUCGCUGGAGAAAUUGGAAACAUAACCGUCAGAAAAUAGAAUCGCUGGAGAAAUUGGAAACAGAACCGCCGGAAAACAGGGUGCAAUUGGAGAAUCCCUGGAGAAAUUGGAAAACAGGGUGCGAUUGAAAACAGAACCGCGGGAAAACAGAAUCGCAAUCACGUGCAACCUCGCCGGUGAAAUCACGUCGCCAUGAACCUGGCCGGAUAAAUCAGGUCGGAGCGGCGAGCAAGGGUGAGAAUCACGUCGGCGUCGGAGCUACGAUGAGCUUCUGCGUGUGUGCGAUCAAAUCUGGUUGUGAAGUGUUUAUGCAGGAUGCAUAAGGAAAUGGCUUAUGCAUAAUAACUUGGACUCGUGAAAUUAUUUUUUAUUUUUUAUUUUCUAUUUGAUCUCUUAAAACAAGUUUUUUUUUUUUUUUGUGGUCGGGGUUUGAUCCCCGGACCUUGCAUAUAUUAUGCAUAUUUCAUAUCAACUGAGCUAAGCUCACAAGUACACCUUUAAAACAUGUUAGUUUUAAUUGGAAAAUAUUUUUUUUACAAUCUAACUAAUUUCAAAAAAUUUAACAAACACAAUCAAAAUCAUUAAUUUUUUCAUAUAAAAAGUUUCCGUCUAAUCACUGCGAGCUGUAGUUGUGAUAGUACACGUUUCAUUUUUUAAAAUAAAAACAAGUCUUUCUUUAAUUCUUUAAACUUUUUUUGGCACUAAAAAUAGAAAUGUUUCUUUUAUUUCUCAAUAAAGAAAUUUUUCUUUAAACUACUAAAAUUACAUGGCAAUGUUUUUUCUCAUGCCAAAUUUGUAAUGUCACUACGUAAAAUUCCGUAAACAAUAAUGUAAAAAAACGUGUCAUGCGUAGCUAAAAAGAAAAUCUUGAACAUGAUGUUUUGAGAUCAAUAUCAAGAGCUAUGUGAAAGCCACUUUAAUUAGUAUAGGUACCUUAAAUAGUUUUCCCGAGAUCAUAUGGAUUUACAAGUGAUAAAUUAUUACGUGAUUAAUUGUCAUUAGACAAAUUUGUAAAGAAAAAGGGUAUGUUAGAUGAUAAGUCAAAAGUUUAAGGUACUUUAUGGUCAAAAAUGUAUCUAAAGAUCUUUAAGUUUUUCAUUUUUUUUAAAGUGGUCUUUUAAGUUUUAAAAGUCUCAAACAAGUCAUUUUAGUUUUUGAAUCGUUUCAAACAAAUCUUUUUAAAGAAUGAUGGUGAUGAUUCAGAUGAUAGCAACAAAGAGCAUUAUCCACCAUUUGUCAUGCCUAAAAAGAUGACUAAUUUUAAGUGGAUGUUAGGAGCCAGAUUUGAUACCAAAGAUGAGUUCAAGGAAGCAAUUACCAACUAUGCUAUCUACAAUAGGACUUGUUUGAAACGAUUCAAAAACAAAAAGGACUAGUUUGGGACUUUUGAAACUUAAAGGACCACUUUGGGAAAAAUGAAAAACUUAAAGGACCUUUAGAUGCAUCUGACCAUACCUUAUAGUAAAGUAAAUAGUCAAAAAACAUCACAGUGAAGUAAUAUUAAAAUAAAAGGUUAAUUAAGUUUUUGGUCCCUAUAAAAAUCUGCAGUUUUGUUUUUAGUCCCUAUAAAAAAAAAUCACACUUUUUAGUCCCUACAAAAUUUUCCGUUUGUGUUUUUAGUCCCUGUUAAAUUAAAAUUUGUUUAAUUAUGCUUAAAAUUUUAAUUUUGUUAAUGAUUUUUUAGAUACUUGUUUAAAACAUUAUAAAAGGUUCCGCCACAAUAAAUUAACUCAAAAUUUUAUUUUUAGAUCCAAAUUUUCGUUAACUUUUUCUUGAAUUUUUAGCGUUUUAAAAAAAUUAUAUUUAAUUCAUUACAUGUUAAAAAAAUCUAAUUUUUUAUAAAAGAGAUUAUUAUAAUGUUCUUAACAUGUCUGUUAAAAAUCAUUUAAAAAUAUAAAAGUUUAAGUAUAAUUAAACAAAUUUCAAUUUAACAGGGACCAACACAUAUUUUUAGUCCUUGUAAAAUUAAAAUUUGCUUAAUUGUGCUUAAGCUUUUAAAUUUGUAACAUAUUUUUCACAUACUUACUUAGAAUAUUAUACAAAGUUGGCUUUUAGAAAAAAUUUAUUAUUAGGUCCAAAUUUUCAUUAAUAUAAUCUUAAAAAUUUGGCUUUUAGAAAAAUUCAUAUUUAAUUCAUUACAUGUUAAAAUACUAUUUUUUUUUUACAAAAGAGUGUCUUACGAUAUUAUGAACAUGUAUAUAAAAAAUCUUUCAAAAAUUUAGAAGUUUAAGCAUAAUUAAACAAAUUUUAAUUUAACAGGGACUAAAAACACUAACAAAAAAUUUUAAGGACUAAAAAGUGUGAUUUAUUUUUAUAGGAACUAAAAACAAAACUGCAAAUAUUUAUAGGGACCAAAAAUUUAAUUAAUCCUAAAAUAAAUUAGUGAUUAUGUUGAAAUUAUUUUUAAAUUAUCUUGUGACUGCACCAAAAAAAGUUUAAACCCCAAAUCAUUGUAUCAAAUAAAAAAAAUACAAAGAUAGAUGCAAUUACUUUUGUUUAUGUUUCUAAUCAAGGUUGCAUCUCAUGUUCUGUAUUUGUGAAGCUACUAGUAAAUGUAAAGUGUAGCGUGUACGAUAUGAGUGAGACAGAGUGGCGUACAAGAUCAUCAACACUUUGUAACGUAACAUCCUUGUCAAAUUACCAUAAUGUGCUGUAAACUUUUUUGUAUAGAAUAAAAAAUGAAAGAAUAAUGUCUUAAAAAUGAAAGAAUAACCUUUUCUACUUUUGAAUAUGACAAAAAAGAAAGUUGUUUGUUAAUACUUUAAAACAAAGAGACGUUUCUAACUCACCUCACUUUCUUAUCACAUUUCCUCUCUUAUGAUCAACCUAUCUACCCCAUUUUAGUUUUUCCUCAUCUUUAAGCAGUAAUAUCUGCAAAAACCAUCGUAUUUAAUGCACAUCAAUAGAGUGCAAUUAAACAACAAAUUGUGUCGCUAAUUCAUUAUAGAUGAUAAAGCAUUCCUUUUUUAAAAUAAGAGUCAUAGACUUUAUAAUAUUGAUAUGCAUGAUUUAUUUAACUCUUUAUAGAAAGUCCACAUUCUUUGGUGCAAGGAAGUCCAAAGUGUCUAAAACAAAUAGGAUAGAAAGCAUGAUGAUUAUUAUAACAUUUUUUCUCGUGUCCGACCACUUUGCUUGAAACGUUUUUAGGGUUGUUGUCCUAGAGUAAAAAAAACCAAACCGCAAUCCCAAAAGUGGAGAAGCUCCUUAAUUACACCAGAAUAUCAAUUGGCAUAAAUGUCAAUCUUCCCUCAUGUAGGUCGAUCAAGAAGUUCGCAUGCCCCUCUUUCUUCAUAGAUACUUCCAUUGACCUUAAUAUUUCAAAAAGAACAUCCCUAACAAAGUCAUGCAUUGAAGUCGAAAGCUCCUUACAAUGAAUUGUGUGCUCCCCAAAGUAUAUAGGCACGCCUUACUGAAAACAUGUCAUACCUCAUUAAUAAGAAAUAAGGGAACCAUGAGACAAUAUCUAAGGAUAGUACGGUAUUGUACUUGUGGCAUUUUUCAACCUAACUCAUCAAUAGGGGAUAGCUAGAAGAAAAUCAUGAGCAUGUCUGCUUGCAAACACGCAAAAACGAUUUUCUGUCUGGUGGUCAUGUUAAACUUUACUUUCAUAUCCUAAACACUUUUACUAAAAAGGACAUGUGUCAAAACAAGUUGGACUUUAGUAGGGAUGAUAUUCUUGUUUGUAAAACUGUUAAAAUUAAAAUCUAAAAUUGUACCACGAAGACCAUCCAAAACACAGUCAAAAUGAGAGUCCAUACACUUAUCGCAUUCUCUCUCGGUAUAUAUGAUCUUGUAGCACCCAAUAUUCCAUCUUGGAAGCCAUAGAAGUGUACGAGGAAACCUGUUAUACCGCCGAGUACAAACCAAAUCCCAACUCUAAUAAACAGAUCGAAGCCAUCCUGCAUUGAAGGUCCUCAAAGAAAGGACCUCUACCAAUCACAAUAUAUUCAACCACCCUCCUAAUGAUAAAAAAAAAACCACCGGAAAUUUCAGCUAGCUAAAUUUAUAUGAUAUUUAAUAUUGAUAACGUAAUGACAUGCCUCACCAAUUUUGGACAAAUGUACUCCUGCAGUAAAAGUGCCACAUAAGCAACCACGGUCGUGAAUUUCAAAAGUAAAAAGGACCCAGUAACACAAAUAUGUCAAGAUGAUUCAAUGAGAAAAACUAAACAUCCAAAACAUUUGGUUUUUGAAAUUAUACCCAUUAAUGAUUUAUUUUUGUUUUGUUUGUUCAAGUUAUUUGACUAUGGUUUCUAUCCAACAUGGUUGAUGAAACUAUUUCAAAACCUAUGGUGAUUGUUGAGUUUUUCUCGUAUAAACUUGUGUAUUUAAUUUUUUUUGUUAUAUCAAACAUCAAGAUUCACAUGCAAACUUGAUUUCAUCAUCGACACUGAAUUCACUUUAGAUCAUGAAUUUAUAUUUCUCAUUAAUGUUUUUUAUUCAAACAACAACUAUGUUUGUUUGGUAUAUUGAUUACAAAUCAACAACUAUCUUUACAUAUUCUAGUUAUACACGUAACAUAGUUAAAACAAAGUUACACUACAAAACAAGCUUACAAACGACAACACAUACAUAACACAUUCCAAUUCAAUUUAAUUAAAUUUACCUCAAAACAUAAUCAUAGAACAAAUAAUACCAAUUUUCUUUAUUUUCAAUUACACAAAAACAUAACCACACUACAAACCAAGUUUACAAAUUACAACACACACACACACACAACACAUUUAAAUAUAAUUUCUUUACAUUUACACCAAAACAUAAUCACAGUACAAAUAACAUAUUUUCAAUUUCUUUACAUUUACACUAAAAUAUAACCUAACUACAACCCAAGUUUACAAAUUACAAUACACACAUAACAUAUUUAAAUAUAAUUUCUUUACAUUUACACCAAAACUUAAUCACAAUACAAAUAACACAAAUUCAAUUUUUAUACAUUUACACCAAAACCAAGUUCACAAAUUACAACACACACUUCACACAUUUCAAUUCAAUUUCUUUACAUUUAUACCAAAAUAUAAUCACAAUAUAAAUAACAUCAAUUCAAUAUCUUUACAUAUUCUAGCUAUACAUGUAGCACAGUUGACACUAUUUUUAUUUAUCCAUAAUUUUAUUUACUUAUAUAUAUGUAUAUAAUCAUAUCUUCACAAUAAAUUUUCAAAAUAUCAACCUUAAAGCUUUAGGUUUGUUUUGUAGCAUCCACAGAAACAAUCAAAUUUUGUAUGGGAUGAAAACAUGUCCUAUGCACAGGAAGAUGAUGACCCUGCAACUCAUGCUUAACUUCAAAACUGGGGCAAUCUUCCUCGAGAAAGGAGAAAGGUCACAAAUGCAGACAAUAGUAUUCAUGGAAACGGAGGGUAUAAGGUCUUUACUUUGGUGAAAAUUCGUCGAUGUGACUUAGCCAGCUUGAGCAAGUAAAGUGGACAUGCAAGUGCCUUCUGUGGUUCUAAAUGCUGAUAGCUUUGUCGAAGCUUGCGCUCAAAAACGAUGGACAGUUCUUAUGAAACUCAAGAGUAAUUAUUGAUUCUUUGUGUCCUAGAAAAGUUAAAGAACAACUGUGAGUAUCGACUUCUCAUACCUUAAUCUUGCAAUCAUCUCCUGCCAUUAUUAACAUACAAAAAGUAGACAAGUAUUAGUAUAGUUUGACUUAGAAGCACUUGCUCAAGUAACACACUCCAAACAUCUGCAGCUAUUGCAAUCAUUGUUGCAACUUACAGACAAAUCGAAAUUGAAUAAUACUGACUUCUCUUUGGUUGUUAAAUUAUCAACAAAAAAAAAUGUCUUACUUGCAUUGACUCUAAUUUCAUUUCUACUCAAUCAACUUCCAUCAAUGAGGUAUUCUCAAGACAAUCACAAUCAUGUUAGCCCCAUAUCAUAAAAAACAAAUAAAGUAAUAAAAUUACAAGAGCGGAGGUAAUAAAAUCAUCACAUGGAAGGUAGAAAAAUGUAUUAAAAUCUAUUAAAAUUACAAAAAAUAAACAUAAAAAAGAGAGGGAUGACAAUUAGAUCACAUAUAUCAUCACAAUUAAGGAAAUUCAUAGCACGAACAACACAAUGUGCGCUUCAAACUCAUCAAUGACGUAUUUUGUUGUAUAAUUUCACUCCUGAAUCAUUGCAAUUUUCAAACCAGCCAAGAUUCACUUCCUCUUCGGAUGGAGACAAAGUCCCUUCACACACCACACUUCAUUUCUAUCUCCUUCUCCUUUUUCGUCAACACCUCUCUUAGCAUCGUCUUUCUUAACACCUCUCUUAUGCAGCCUAAUUAUUAGUUUUAACAAACAACUUUCAUUUAUAAUCUAUAUUAUAUAUAAAGAAAAUAGGCCAUUUUAGGAUAGCUUUUUCUUCUUGGGAUAUCUUUUUCUUCUUCCAAUUACACUCUUAAGCAAAUUUGAUUAUAAUAAAGCUAUUUUGUUGACAUCAUUCAAAAAGAUAAGAAUUUGUUAUAUAUUUUUUUGACAAAAUUUGUUAUAUUUUUUUUAAAGAUAUUAUAUUUGUAAUAUUGUUGGUAUCAUUGAAAAAGAUAAGUAUAGUUUGGUACAAUAUGAAAAGAAAAAUAUUUAUUAUCUAUACCAAUAAUUUUAAUCAAAAUUUCAUUAAAACUAUUGUUCGUAAUUUAUACGCAUUAGCGCAAUAAGAAGAUCCGACAAACGAGCAAGGAGUGCAUGUUUAAACGCUAAUAAUAACAAUAAUAAUAAACCAAUUUUAAUAACAAUAAGAAUAUUAUUAAAUUUGUUCCUGGGAGGGGAGAACUCCCUCUCACCUUACAUAUCGCCUCUCUCUCUCCUUCCCCACACCAGAUGAUCCCCUCCUCUGCCGUCUCCCUAUACUCCCUCGUUCAACCCUUCCCUCACCACCCCAACAUAACUCCCCCUCUCCCUCACCUUCACGAGCUCCUUAACACCCCCCUCUCACCACUCCUUUCCCAUCUCUCACACUUUUUGCUCCCUCGACACUCUAAUCAUCCUUUACAAACUCCCUCACCCGAGACACCCUCUCCUUCUACCCCUCCUUAGGAUAUUCAAACCGAUCAAAUCUUGCUACCUUUGCAAAAAUCCAACAAUUACCAAACCAUAUACAUUAUUCAAAGCUUUAGAUAAUUUUCUUACAUCUCUUACAUUGCAGAAACGGACAAAACCAUACACAUGGAAGUUGACUUUGCACUUCUUAGUCAAGUACACAUCCUCCAAUAUACCAUAUACUUCGAAACCUUGACAUAAAUGAAAAUAGAGAAUAUGUUUUGGCACAAUACUAUAGUAAAAGCAAACAAAAUUCUUAAACUCUGAACCAACAUGAUCUUCCUUUGCAUGCUGCCGAUGAUGAGACUAGAGCUGUCAAAACGGGCGGCCCGGCCCGGCCGGGCCAAGGGCUUUUAAGGGCCGGGCUAAAAAGCCCGGUUUGAAUAUGGGCUGCAAAAAAUGAGCCCGAGCCCGGCCCUAUACGGGCUCCCGGGCUAACGGGUCGGCCCUGACCCGUAUUUUUUCCUUCCCUUUUCCAUUCUUUUAAGUACGGAACAUACAUAAAUAUGCCGGGCUAACGGGCCAGCCCGGGCCCGUAUCAGUCUCUCACACACACAGACCACAAAAAAAAAAAAAAAAACAGUUGUAUUUUUUGCGGGCUUCCGGGCAGCCCGGAGCCCGGACGGGCUAGCCCUAACGGGCCAAGGGCUUUUACGGGCCAGGCUAAAAAGCCCUCUUCAAUUUCGGGCUCCAAUUAUUCGGCUCAAGCCCUACAUUUUAUUCGGGCUUUCGUUUGACAGCUCUAGAUGAGACCUUGUCGAUUGAAAUCACGGCCUUGACCAAACUCUCUAACAUCAACUCGGGUCGUAUGGAAAGCAUAUGUAGUUGUUUUGAAUCAAGCCCGAAGUCAACAUUAUCAAAUUGCAUAUCACUGAUCUUUUAAAAUGCACGAAACAAACCUAACGCUUCACCCACAACACAACGGAGAAACACAAUAUUUUGGCCAAAACAAACUUACCCUUGUCAAAUGGUAUGAUACGGUAACAACAUUUAAAAAUUAUACAAAUAAAAAAAAAUCAAAACAAAUUUCCAAAUCCUUAUUUGGCCAAUACAAUAAACUUUACAAAUAAGUCAAACUGCAAUAUUUGAUUUGAAAACUAAUAAAGAAGAAAAAUCACCGAAAUCAAAUUAGGAUUCAAAGUCAGCCAUAUUAGCAACAUGAACUACAAAACUGGUUGUCAAGAUUCAAAUAUAUUAUGGGUGUGUUUGGUAAAAAAAAGCUAUAAGCUAGCUGAUAGCUGAAAAGCUAGUUUAUAGCUGAAAAGUUAGCUGAUUAAAAUUAAAAGUGUUUGGUAAAAUUAGCUGUUGAAGUGACUAUAAAUAUAAAAUGACAUAAAAGGACAUGCUUGUUUAAUUUUUUCUAAUAUCAUAUAUAUAAUUUUUAUUACUUAACACAUUUAUUUUUAAAUAUUUAAAUAUAUUUCAAAUUAUUUUCAUCUCCAAAAUAAUAAAUUAUUUAUGAAUUCAAUCAAAUUUUUUUAUUUAACAAUUUUAUUUUAUUUUUAUGAAUUUUAUUUAACUAAACUUGCUUCACUAUUAUAAAUUCUAUAUAAAAUUAUAUAUUAUAUGAAUUAUGAGCAAAGUAAAAAAAAACAAAAAAGUGGACAAGAAAAUUUAAAAAGUCAUACAUGAUAAACAUGGUUAGUUUAAGAAGAUAGUGGGUAGUUUUUUUUUUUUUUUUAUUAUAAUAGAAUAAAAUUAAAUUAAGAAAAGGUUAAAAUGGAAAGAGAGUAUAAAAAGCUACAAACUAUAAGCUAAAAAGCUACUUGGAUUAGCUUCUUAAAAAACGCUAUAAGCUAGUGAGAAAAGCUUUUUACCAAACACAUCUCAUUUUAUCAAAACAAGCUUAUAAGCUAGUCCAACAAGCUAUAAACUAGCUUUUUGUGUUACCAAACACAGCCUAUAACAAAUAUAAAUAUGUAUACAACCCUUAAAAAAACAUGAAUACAAUAUGAUAGAUCUAAUGUCAACUUUAAAGAAGGGAAACGUUAUCCUUAUAUUAGAUUUCAAAUUUCCCAAAAAGAAAAUAAAAAACAAAGCAUUGAAGCAUUUUUUGUUGGAAUAAUUAAUAGCAUGUUCCAACAAUUUUACAUAUGAACUUCCACAUUAUUUCAGCCGUAAUGGUAGAUGAAGGCUGCACAAUUCUAUCCACUUAGAAUAGUUUAUGACAACAACGAUAAAUUUCAGUGGACUUAUACUUGUGGGAAUGGCUCAAGAAUGUCGAGCCCUAAAUACUAGAAGGUCAAGUUGUAAUGAUCAGGAGAACCUCAGGUGGACAAUGUGAUUGGUUGAUGAACCUCUAACAUUUGUCACACUUCUAAACAAUAACUCUACGGUCUUCAUAAUAAGGUAUUGUUGUUCGACUGAAAGAUCACAACCUAUAAAACAAUAAAAUGUAAAGUAAAAUAUGAGGUGUGACGUAAUCACUGAACUAAGUAAUUAUCCGCAUGAUUACACAAUUCCUCCAAAAUACAACAGGUUCUUCCUUACAAUAAUCAUACCGAGACUAUCAAAACACGAGGAAAACCUCUCCCUAUUUAAAAGGUAAUUUUAUUUAUAAUGAUGAUGAUGAUGAUGACACUAACGAAUGAGAAGUUUAUGAAAAGAAAAGUAAUGUACACUAUGAGCAAAAAUCAAGAUUACUUAGAAAAAGUACCAAGGCAAAUUCAUUUGGCACAUUAAAGGCAUAUGACCGUUUUCCUAUGUCGAAAUUGUUAAACUGAGAUUUCACUUUUUGUGUGUGAGUUUAUGAUGACUUUGCCAUUUUUUUUAUGUAUCAAAAAAAUAAUAUUGUGUGGGUCAAUAUUAUUAUAAAUAGAAUAGGAAAUGUCUUCGUGAAUUUAACUCGUUGAUAAAGACAAUAUAUAUUAUAUGUAAGGGCCGAAGUUCAAACCCCGACCAUCACAAAAAAAAAAAAAAAAAGACUUUUGCAAAUAUCUUCGAUACACAAGUAUAGUCUAAUAAUAUCCUAACCAAAAGAAUUUUUCAGCCAAAGUUCUUGCCACAAAUUCCUUCAUGUAUUUCAUGAUCACAUACUGUGUUUCAUGUUCUUUAUGGCACAAUAGUAAAGUUUGGGAAAAUCUCCUCCUGUAUAACUUACCAGUAAUGAUCAUGUAUGUCAUGCAUCACGUCACUUGUUUUGCUUCAUGUUCUUUAAGGUAGGAUUUGAGCAUUAUUUUGAAAUAGGAGUAUAGCGUAUCCUGCUGUUUGUACUCGUUGCGGCCUUCAUGACACGACGUCCUUUCAUUGUGUUCGUGAUUGUAAUUUGUCUAGAACCAUUCGGCAUCACAUCGGGUUCUCUAGCCCGAAUUUUUUGUAGGUUAUGGAUGCUCAUCACAUCGGGUUCUCUAGCCCGGAUUUUUUCGGAUGUUUAUGAUUGGCUCAAGGGGUGUUCUAAGGGUUCUCUAGCUUACUUGUUCUCAACAGGUGUUUGGUGGUCUUGGAGAGGCACCGUAAUUUGAUGUGUUUAAACAAUGAAACUUGGUCUUUAAACCGCCUCUCCUUUAACAUUCAGAAUACAGUGGAAGUCCUCAAGUCAAGCUACUUUCCUUGUGCUAAUGUUGCUCCUACCGAGUUAUUCAUCAAAUGGAACGGCAACAAUCAGUGGCGUUGCCAGGACCCUGGUUCAGGGGAUGCAAACUUUUUUUUUUUUGUUAACAUUGCCAGAGUGAUAAAUUCCACAUAAAAAUCCACACACAGAGGAUAUAAAUGGUUAAAUCAUGCUUAAACACGAAUAACCACAAAGAAUGUGAAGCUUAACAAUCUUGACAUUGAUGGUUAAAUCAGGCUCUAAUAUACGAGUGUAAACAUUUUUUUGUCAAGUUUUAAUGACAAAAAUUUCGCUUCUAAAAGUGAAUAAGCGAAGAAUCUGAGGUUCGAACCUCGUACCUUGCAUACUGCAAUACCUCUAUCAGCUGAGUUAAACUCAUGCGACUGUGUAAACUUUUUAACAUCAAUUAAUAAUUAUUAUAAUGUAUAUAAAUUAAAACAUAUCUUCGUGAGCUUAGCUCAGUUGGUAGGAAUAUUGCAUUUUAUAUGCAGGGGCCGGGGUUCGAACACCGGACACUCCAAUUCUCCACAACUUAAUUGUAUGAGCUCUAGACACUAAGCUACUUGACCUAAAAAAAUAAAACAUACAUUUAAAUUAUGAAAUUUUAGUAUAUGUUUAUUAAAUUAGCUAGAACAUUUUUUUAAAAGGAAAACUAUCUAGUGUCGAAUUUUAGUUAUAUAUGUUUGUCAAAUUGCGAUAACCUUAGAAUAUAAUCAUUUUUACAAUUUUAUAAUAAUAAUUUAAUAAAAUUCGAAUAAUGCACAUCUCACUGACACAAUCCAUUCGAUCAAAUAAAAUGUAAUGGAAGGCAGUCAUUUACACAGUUCAAUGAGAGAGCAAAGACAGAGGGCUCAUAGUUAAAUUUUCAGGGGGUUCAUUCAACAAAAAGUUAGAAAAUUAGGUGCAACUAUAAAAUUUGAGGGGAUGCAGCUGCAUCCCCUAAGCCCAACGUGGGUCCGCCACUGGCAACAAUUAUCCUUGUGCCAUCCUGAAUGUAGAUGGUAGUUGUCUUUCAGGCUGGUUUUGGGGGAGUCAUAAGAAAUAAUGAUGGAUCGUUUUUGAGGUGCCAUUCUAGAUUCUUUUGAUAUUUUGCUCGUUAAGUUGUUAACAAUUUACCAAGGUUUGAUAUUGGCCAAGAAUCUGGGUAUCAUUGAGUUUAUUUAUUACUAUAAUUCACUUCACUGCAUCAACCUCAUCGAUGAUCUCAUUGUGAAGUACCAUGUCUAUGUUGUGUUUAUUCAAGACAUAAAAGAAUAGCUUUUUUAAACAAAAAAUAUCACUAUUUAUCACAUCUUAGAGAAGGGAAUCAAUGUGCAGAUUUCUUGGCAAAACUUGAGCUUUCUCAAACAACGAUCUCUUAAUCCAUGCUUCUCUUCCGGAAGACUUGUUUAAUCUUCUUUGGAAUGAUGCUUUAGAAACUUUCUGCCUUUGUUUUUGUUUUGUUUGUUGUUUUAACCUUGUAACCAAAAACUAAUGAUAGAGAAAAAAAACGACUUUAAAUACUUUUACCACGGUCAAAGGAAUAAAGGAUGAUUAUCUUUUCCUAACAAUGUAUAGACAAACCAAUAAAUUAUUUAGAGCCAUGGGUCUUUGAAUUUGAUUACUUGGGCAAUUAAUUUCAAAUUAUUGCAUUUUACUUCAGCUAGUGAAGAUUAUCAAUAAUAACAAAUUUCACCAUACGGAGAAGGCUCAUGUGGGAGUCAAUUCUAAACCUCUACGUUGUUUGCGGAUUGGGAGAUUUGAAAAGUAUAGACCACAUGGUCCCUAAAAUUAUUUACACAAAAUGUUCCCAUAGAUUUUGAAGUCUCAAUAUCUCUUCUCACUUUUUGGUUGUAAAUUUUGAUUGUAUAAAGUAACAUGCAUGGUGCAUAAACUUUACUAGAACACUACGUACGUGUGAUAUUUGCAUCAUAGUCCAAGAGAUCUAUAAAUUUCGAUUGGUGUAAGCAAAAACAUACAUAUAUGGAAAAGACUUUAUGCGUAAGCAAUAAAAUAAUGACAUCGUUAUUAUUAAGAAAAGGUUUGGAGAUUAAAAAGUAUACCAUUAUAUAUCAAAAGAAUUGUAGAUAAUUCAACAUCUACGAAUUAUAUAGUUCCUCUAAAAAAUAAAAAAUAAAAUCAUAUGUACUUGUCAUCAUAGGUUCCAUAACUCCUAUCCGUAAUGUAGUGUAUAAGAGUUUAAUUUGUCUGCCUGAUAGAGAUUUUUCCCGCACAACGUCCAAUUAGAUCUUAUGAUGGUAGUUUAACUGAUUUGAAUUAAUGGAUAUUGAGUUGAAGAUUUUAAGUUUAAAUUCGGAAGAAUGAAAAAAAUUAAUCUAACUAUUAACAUUUGUCGUUUGGAAGAAGAAAAAAAUGAAUGAUCAAAUUACACCGAUAUAAAUGUUACAUCAUUUUACUCUGUAUAUAUUUUUUCUAAUUUGACAGUCGUAUUGUAAGUUUAUAUCAUCUAAAUAUUUAAAAUUAUUUCAUGUUAUUAAUACUCAUUGAGAUUGAGGGUGUAUGCAUUUUUAUCAAACACCGUUAAUUUUGAUAGGUCUCAGUAACAUAGAAAAUUAUGUUAUACACAUAGAAAUUUAUAUAGAUGAUCAGGGUCGUACCAAUCAAAGUGAAGAUCUGACUCACAUAGUAAAAUUGGGCCCUUAAUAAAAUAAAAACAAUUUUUUUUUAAAAAAAGAACAAUCUUCUAUCUAAUUGUAAAUAACAUUCAUAAACAUGAAAAAAAUAUUCAUCAUGUAACUAAUAAAAGAAAAUCAUAUUCUAAUCAAUGACAUAAAAUAUAACUUCAAAAUAAUAUUUUCAUGAUCCUUCUCACAAAUAAUCCAAAAGAGAAAUCCUCGAGGACAUUUUUUUUUCCUUCUUCAACGCCUCCUGUAGUUAACUCUAGGAGAAUCUUUUUCGGUCAAAAGAUAUAUUGAGAGAGUCUAAAAUGAAAUCUUCUAAAUAAUUGAUGAGGGUCAUUGGGUCCACACAUAUAAUAAAUUUGUUGAGGCCUCAAUAUUUGAAGACUCAGUUCCGUAGAGCUGUUUACACCUUCUCAAAAACGUCUGUGUGGAUGAUUUAUAUGAUAUAAACUUAAAAUUCAACAAUCAAAUAUGAAAAAUAUAAAUUAAGUAAAAUGAUAUUGAAUGAUUUAACAUUGAUAUAAUAUUAUAUCGGCAUAGUAUGAAAUCUAUUAUCUCUUCAAAAAAAAAAUGAAAUCUAUUAUCUAUUAUAUUGCAAUACCUCUUUCUAAAAUAUAAAAAUGUGAAAUCUGGUUGGACGUAUGUAUAGUAGUGUGUACAAAAAAUAAGUUCAUUAGGAGUACACACACGACGGUCAUUUAUAGCAAUAGGCAUUACAACUUGUAGAGAGAAAAAAACAUUUACAUAAGUGGAAUACCUUUUCGUGAAGACAAAAGGAUUGUCAAUUAUCUUGCACCAUAAUUCACAAACAUGGAAAAUGAAAUGCACCAUAAUUCAUAAAGCUAAACUUUUUUCUUUGGUUUCAUACACAGAUAUAUACACUAAUUUAGAUACAUUUAGAUUUUUGUUAAUUUUCUGUCAUUGGCUUGAUAUGCAAAGUCUUGAUUAUAACUGAAUGGGUUAGGUUUCUCAACUAUGUGAUAAUGGUCCUACCAAGCACCAAGAAACACAAGAAAAGAAAAAGUUAAUUUGCAAUUUUAGUUGCUCCCUAGUUCUAUAUGUUAUCCUAUUUGCUCCUAUAUAUAUACUAGAUAAUUUAGCAAUCCAAAAACUACUUGCUGAUCUUCAUUUCUUCUUUUGGUAUGAAUUAGACAUCCAUUUUGGCGUGACUGUGGAGGAGACUAAUCUCAUGAAGCAACACGAACAACAAAAUUGUAUUUUUUUUUUUAACUCAUGACCAACAAAAUUGUAUUUUUUUGGUGUUGAAUUUGAACUCAGAUGAUUGAUUAAGCGGAAAAAUAUUUGUAUCAUCUAAUUUGAAGUGUCUUUAUGACACUUUUUAAGAAGUUUAAAAAUGAAGUUUUGUCUUUAAAAUGAUGUAUUCAACACAUUGAAAGUUUAAAAAUUAAAUUUUUUCUUUAUAAAACUUGUAAAUUAUUUUUAUUUUUAAAUAUUUAACAAGUGUCUUUAAGACGUACACAUUAAAAAAUGGCACUAGGUGGCAAUUAGUCAACACCCUUUAUAGGUAAAUGGUGGUUGAUCAAUUAUGCACUCGCAUAACUUAAUCCGCAUUUUGCUAACUACUACAAUAAAUCCUUUCUUUGAAGCUCACAAAAUUACCGUUACAUGUUAUCUCUAUAUCUUUAUGUUGUUAAUAUAAUCCAGUUUUGCUUGUUAAAAAAAAAGUUAUUGAGAUUUGUUAUUGAUCUUUAUUAUGAAUUAUGAUCAACGAAAGAACACUCAAAGUUUUAUUGUACAUAUAGAUAGAAAAUUAUCAAACCCAUUGAUCUUAGAGGCACAGUGAUGAAAUUGCAGAAUUAAAACAUAGGAGUUGCUAAUUAAGCAUUGAGGACUGAAGUGAAGAGGCUUCAAGUAGAUAUGUCAUAUAUAUCACAAUAUUAACAUCUCAAACAUAGGGGUUGUGGUCGUUAUAAGUUGCUCAAUUAAUGUUGUUGACUAAAUCCCCUAGCUGCCAAUUAUCAAUCCCCCAGUGAGUAUCAAAUUUGAACUCUACUAAAUAUGAAUAAACAUUAAAAAUGUUCAAGUAUAUAUGAUAUAUUAUACAAAGAUUUGUUAAGGCUAAUGGUUCAUACCUAAACUUAUAUUAUGUCAUUGUAGGCUCUGUUUGAUAAAAAUAGCGGAUAGCUGAUAGCUUAUAGUUUAUAGCUGAUGACUGAUAGCUGAUGACUGAUAAGCUAGUUGAAGUGUUUGAUAAAAUUAGCGGUUCAACUAGCUUAUAAACGUAAAAUGACAUAAAAGGGUAUUUUUAAUUCAUUAUAAAAUUUAUAUCAAUUGAUAUUUAAAAUUUCAUAGUUUAAACAUAGUAAUCUAAAUGUCUUUCAUAUGUUAUUUUUAAAUUCAUAAAUUGGCUAAUGUUUUAUUUAAAAUUGAUUUUAUUUCAGUUUUUAGACUUUAUAAAAAAAAUUAAACAAAACCUUUAAAAAAAAUUAAUUGUUAUCCUCUAAAACAAAAUUAAACGUAUUGAUCCAAAAUCAAACAAAAUUUUGUUUUUAGACUUAAAAAACAAAAUUAAACAUGUAAUAUGAUUUAUUUAGGUAAACGUAACAUAUAUUUUUUUAAAGAAAAAUGUAGUUUUUAUUUUUGUAAACAUGAGCAUAUAUUUUUGUAAAAAAAAAAUAAAAGCGUGAGCAUAUAUAUAUUUAGUUAUAGUGAAAUCUAGGAUUAAAAGUGCUAUGUUUUUCUUUAACAUAGUUAUUUAUUACAAAGGGUAGAUAUGGAUUUUUGUUAAAUUGAUAAGGGUAAAAAUGAGACAAAAAAUGAGAAGCUAUAAGCUCAAACGCUACUUGGAAUAGCUUCUGAAAAAUAGCUUAUAAGCUCAUGAAAUAAGCUAUAAGCUCAUGGUGAAAAAGUGUUACCAAACAGAACUUUUUUUGUCAAAUGAGCUUAUAAACUAUAAGCUAUAAGCUAAUUUAGGUGUCUUACCAAUCAGUGCCGUAGUAUAUCUCACAUAUAUAGAGGUCCCACAUGAGCGAAUAGUGCAUAUUUUUAAAUAAGAUUGUCAAUAAUAAUAUAUACAUACGAGUAGUUCAACUCAUUCGAGUUAUAAGAGUUAAAAAGUUGAAAGACUAUAUUCAAAUCUUGAUGGUCGAGAAAGUAGUAAUGUAACAACUAAUUAUUAACAUGGACCGAUUUAAAAGAAAAUAGGAGCGCUCUUGCUUCUACACUAAAAUUUGAGCUCAUGGUAAAAGUAUAUGUGCAUAAUCUUAAAUAGGAAGAGACCUAUCAGUUCACAAAAAAAGUAUGUGUAUAAGGAACCAAACCAAUGUCACUGACAAAACUAUAAGGGUAUAUUUCCUGAUUCAUAUUUUCCUUCCCAAAAUUGAUGUAGGAUAAAAAACAUUAGUUCCACUUGUAAAGGAAGUUCCAUAUCAAGAAUAAACAAAAAAUUAAAGGUCCACAUCAAAGGUUAAACUGUUUCCCCCUCUUUGUUUAUUAUCAAAAACCUCAUAAAAUUUUGUCCCCAAGUAAACUCCCCAAUCAACUAAGUAAUCACCAUUUUUAGUAACAUGAUGCCUCAAAAUCUCUUUAUAUAAAUCAACUGUGUAGUCAUAAUCUUUUCAUGAGCAGAUCACCAACCCUGCCUCUAAUUUUCUUGCCAUCAUCACUCUGUAUGGCUCCUCUCUUCUCUCUUUUCUUCUCAUUCUUGAUGUGUAGUCGUAAUGCUGGGGGUGCACCAUCACCAGGGUACUACCCUAGUUCCAAAGUAAGCACUAUUAGCUUUGAUCAAGAAUUUAGAAAUCUAUGGGGAGCUCAGCAUCAGAAACUAGACCAUGGAUCAUUAUCAAUCUGGCUUGACUCUACCACAGGUAUAUGAAAUCAAAUGUCUCAAAUCAUCUACCAAGUUCACCUAAGUGAAGGGACAUAUAUACAUAAUCAUUAACUCGAAAAAUAACUCUUGAAAUUUCAAGCAUUUCAUAAUUUGUCGCAUGUGUACAUAAAUUUUGUUACAAUAUUAAUUUCUUUCAUCUUUGCACUAUGUAUUACUCUUCUCAAUUUUAGAUGAGCCAAAUAUGAUUCUAAAUUUGUUAAUUGCGUUCUAAACUCUUGAUGAAGUACCUUGUCGCACACGUGUUCCUACUUAAUAUAAUUUGAGAAAUUAGUCUCUGCAACUACUUACAUAGUACAUACCAUAUAAUGCAAAAAUCUAUUAUUAUUUUAGUAUGGAUUCUUACCACUUCUAAGCAUUUCUUUGCAACACAGGGAGUGGAUUCAAGUCAUAUCACUCUUAUAAAUCUGGAUAUUUUGGUACUGCGGUUAAGCUUCAACCAGGUUAUACUGCAGGAGUCAAUACAAAUUUAUAUGUGAGGAUUACCUUAUAUUUUGAAUUAAUGUUGAAAAUUGACUAAAUACUAUGUUUUUGGUGUUGAUAUUAAUUUCAUUUGGGAAUUGUAGCUUUCAAACAUAGAAGAUCACAAAGGAACCCAUGAUGAAAUAGACAUUGAGUUCCUUGGUACUACACAAGAUAAGCCAUAUGUGUUGCAGACAAAUGUGUACAUUAGAGGAAGUGGAGAUGGGAAGAAUAUAGGAAGAGAGAUGAGAUUUCAUCUUUGGUUCGACCCAACACAAGAUUUUCACAACUAUGCCAUUCUAUGGAAACCUAGUGAGAUCAUGUAAUAUUUUCAUACACUAUUGCACGAUGUUUUGAAAUCUAAACCAACAUAUCAUAGUUCAAUUGGUUCAACUAUAGUUAAACCGGAUACAAAUAAAAAUAUCAAAAGUAUUUAUUUAAAAAGUACCAAAACAAUUUUUAUUAAAAAUACGAACCGGUUAAACCAAAUCGGGUUGAACAUGAUUCUAUCAGGCUACAUUAAAAAUAGGAUCAAAUUAAUCAAUGAAGUAGCCAAUUUUUAGUUCAAUUGGUUGAACCGAUCGAUCCUUUCAAACUCGGUGUUGUUUUUAAAACAUUUACCAAGAUCCUCAGAAACAAUCUAUUCUAAAUAUAAAUAUGACUUUAUUUUGUGUUAAUUAAUAUUCUAUGUUUAAUAAGGAUCAACAAGUCAACAAUCAUUUAGCUCUAUGGCUAUCAAUCAAUCACUGUUUGGUUAAAUAUUUUAUUCCAAGAGUGUUUAAUUUUCCAUACUCUACUAAUAGGUAUAGAGAAAUGAGCUGCUAGAAAAUAUUCCUAUCAAAUAGAUCAUUUUUAUUUAAAAGUCCCAUGUGGUCCCUUUUCUAAGAUAUAUACUCAUUAACAUUAUAAUGUCACGUUUAUUAAACAAAACAAAGCAUAUAGCUAUUUUUUUGUAUGUUGCUUUAUGGCACAAUUAAUUAAUAUAUGAAAAAAAUAUGUAGAUUUUUGGUGGAUGAUGUUCCAAUAAGGAGGUAUCCUAGGAAGAGUGAUGCAACAUUCCCUUCAAGACCAAUGUAUGUGUAUGGAUCAAUCUGGGAUGCAUCUGCAUGGGCUACAGAGAAUGGAAAAUACAAAGCAAAUUAUACUUACCAACCCUUCAUUGGAAGAUACCAAAACUUCAAACUACAAGGUUGUACCACUGAUUCCACCUCCUCAUGCCGGCCACCUUCUGUCUCACCACCCGGCUAUGGCGGCAAGCUGAGCCGUCAGCAAAAUGUUGCAAUGCAAUGGGUCCAAAAAAAUUACUUGGUCUAUGAUUAUUGUCAUGAUCCUAAGAGAGACCAUACACUUACUCCAGAAUGCUAAUGUUUAGUUCGGUUCAAUUUGGGGUGUGAUUUAAAUUUACCUUUUACACUUGCAUACAUAAACAAAACAUAUUGUUCAUGGAGUGGUUUUUGAAAUGGUCCCACAUGUUUGUUAGUGCUAAGUCUAUAAUUGCAAGAACAGUGAAGAUCCUAGCCCUUCAAAUAAAAAGAAAUGAUUGUGAUGUUUUUGUUAUUUGUGUAACAUUUUACCCAAAAUAGAUUGGGAUGUUUGUGCGUACUACUGUUACUUUAGUCUUAUUGGUGAUGAAAUAAAUCUAUUUGGAUAUGUUUCUAAUAAUGGUUAAGGUAUCAUAAAAUGAGAAAAGGGACCUUGUUCCCUUGAAAGUAAACCAUCUAAAGGAACCUUCUCAUGGGACUUUUUGUUGCUGAAUUUGACCUCACAGAUUGUCGGUAGCCCUUUUCUGUUACAUGAAUUUGAAUACCAAUAUUCCAAUAACAAUGAUGCUAGAAAUUUAGAGUAAAAAGUUGAAGUGGUCCCUUCUCUAUUGUGGCCAAUAACAAUCAUAUUCUAAAGUAAACAAAUAAAUAAGCGGAGAAGAACACAAUAUUGAUCGUAAAGUUUGGCUAAUUGUGUCUACAUCUCCGGACAUAUAAUAUUAAUAGUACAUCAUAAUCAAUUAUGUGUGACAUUAUAAGCACUUGUGAUAGAAGUCAAACGUUUAUUAUGAUAUAACAAUUAUAAUUUAUUCAUAGUGUAAAAAAAUUUAUAUUGACCGUGUUUGUGAAUUAAAUUCUUGUUUAUCAUAUAUUGUCCUAUACUUUCGCUACGCUUUUGCGCAGUUGCUAGGCCACAUUAUGUUGAAGGGUCUACUAAGUCAUACUCAACAAGUAGAAUGAACACUAUGAGUAUAUAUUUUCCCAAUUUGGGACUAUGCUAAAUAGAGGCCUAUGACAAUGAGUUUCUAUUAGGGGUGGCAAAACGAGUCUGAUCCGUCGGGUCAGUCUGUUUGGCCCGUUAUUUUUGGCGGGUUGAGUCGAAGUUUUGAACUUACUUUCUAUAGUUGGGUCGUCUCGUCUCGUUAAAAUACAGGGCGGGACGGCCCGCUUAACUUGUUGGAAACGGGCACGGGACGUGGCAGGACGGCCCGCCUAACUCGUGUUUCAAUUUGUUAUUUUGAGUCUUAUUUUAUGUUUUUUGAUUUAUUUUGGUUGUUAGAUAUAUUUUGAGACUUAUUUUAUGCUUUUGGAUUUAUCUUGGUUGUUGAGUUUAUUUAUUUUAAGGCUUAUUUUAUAAAAAAAAAUUGGAUUUAUUUUAUGAUUUGUUUUAUAUUGCGCUUGCCUUAUUUUGCUAUUAGUUAUGAUGUUGAAUUCGACAAUUUGAUAAUUAUCUUGUUUUUCACAAAUUUACUUGUUACCUAUUCUUUUAUACUUUUUUACGAUAAAAGCAACAUAGUUUUUUUUUUAACAAUUAAGUUGUAAAAAAAAUUAUAAAAAGUUUUUGUUUGGCGGGCCGGCCCGUCAACUCGCAAGCCCACCACUAAACAGGGCCGGGUGAGAUUUUAAACUCGAUCACAAAAUUUGACUUUGCUCGUCUCAUGUCGUUUUUAGCAGGCUUAGACGGGGCGGAUCUAAAUGGGUCGGGUCGACCCGCUUUGCCAUCCCUAGUUUCUAUCCUAUUGUUUCUUUAGGAAUUUAAAAUUGAAAAAGGAGAAGCAGGUAACAGGAUAUUGACAUUCUAAUAAAUAAAGAGGCAAAUAGAUCGAAGGCAUUAGGCAAAGAUGCUUCACUAUGCUUGCUACUCUCUGAUUCAAAAGAUACCUUCAAAGACCACUAAAUAUAUUUGAUAUUACUUUUUAUUUACGUGGUUCGAACCUCGAACUUUGUAUAUUUUAUGCAUUGUCCAUAUCAACUGAGUUAAAUUCACGAUGACAUAUUUAAUAGAGGAGUGAUAUUUGUACAACUAAUAUUAGACAACUUUGGUGACAAUUAUUUUUCUCCUCUUGUGAUUGGACAAAAACAAUGGAGAGAGAAAGAAGAAGAAGGAGAAUAAAAGCAUAUGUGAGUAUGAGAGACAUGGUUGUUUCAAAAGUUGUUAAAAAAUGGUUGUACAAAUAUCAUUUCUCAAAUCUAAAAUAGUGAUUUUUGCUUAUAAUAGUGACCGAAUGGUGUAGAUGGGUAACAACAGUUUUCAUGCAUUGAAUUUCAAGAGAAUUUUUUUUUAUGCCCUAUAAUGAAAACAAAAAUCAAUAACUACCUAGUUGAAAAGAAAAAAAAACCAAAACUUCCCUACUUUUGAAAAGUUGACCACUAUGUCACAAGAUUCAAUUGCGACCUACCCCCUAUUCUUAAAGUUUGCAUUUAUUUUGUUCUUAUUGUAUGUCACAAGUGGGAUUUAUGACAUGUCUAAUUUUUUUCCGAUUUUUUUCAAGUAAUUUAAUAGAAUUAGUUUUAUAAAUUUAAAAAAAAAAAAUUGAAAUAAAUAUUUAUUAUUUAAGAUGACACAUUUAAAGGUACAAUACUUUCAAACGAAGGAUAAAUAUUUAAUGCAAUACAAAUUAAAUGCAGUAAAAAAAGGGUUUUGUUAACGAGUAUCCACGGGACACUCUUUAAACUUUUUAAAUUAAGUAAUUAUUUUUUAAAAAUGUUAAACUUUUUCAAUUUUCAACGCACUAAUGGCACUAACUUUCAUAAAAGUUUACUAUUUAAAGUCCUUAACCAGUGCCCCGGGGGGCAUUGGUCAACAUUUCCCUAAAAUAUGUCUAGAUUGUUACUGAUGUUCAGUAGUAAUGCAAUUUUUUCAGGAAUGACUGGUCAUCCUACAAAUGCCGCAUUUUCUCCUCUCAUUUUCCACAACGUCCAUCUCGGUCCUAAUGCGAGUAAUUGUGGGACGACCUUUCUUUGCUCUAUGCUACGAUAAAAAAGGACUAUGUGGGUGUAACUUCCUCCUUCAAGUUUGGGCAUUUUGUAGGAUGAAGCAUAUUGCACCAAUUUCAAACCCAAAUAACUUUAUGUUUUAUUUCUUCUUUAUUAAUUUUUUAUUUUUAAAAAUUAUUGUUUACAAGAUUAAUGAUUGAUUAAUUGAUCUAUUCUUUCAGAUGGAUCAGAAAGGGCUCGAAUUAUUACAAUAAUCCAUCUUAUGACACCAUACAUUACAGAACGGAGUUUGAUCGCUUAGUAUAAGAACGGGUAAUAUAUAUAAUGACUAGUAUUUAUUUAUUUAUUUAUAAAAAUGUAACUCAAUUAAUUUUAACUAACGUGACAUAAUGCAACAAGAAAUGUUGGCGGACCAUGGUGUGGAACAGGACCACCUAAUGCCCGAAGAAGAAAUAAUUAAAUGUAUUGUAUUUUUUUUUGGUCAAAAAUGUAUUGUACUUUUAAAUGUGUCAUAUUAAAUAAUAAAUAUUUUCCCUAAAAAAAAUCUGAAUUUCUAGUUGAUCUUGUGUUUGACCAUAAACUUCACUUUGUCAGGGAGAACAAUGCAUUAAAUCACACAAUCAUCCGUUAAUUCUAUUUCAUUUGGCAUAAUGAUAAUCUUCCAUGCCUAACACAAAGCAUCCUACAUUUGUGUUCCAGCAAUGAUGACGUCGCUACUUGACUCUUUUUGAACGCUCUUUAUCCAAAGUGAGGGGGUACAUGUAAUGACGUAAAGACACUCUUAUAAGAGCAUAGUCAGGAGCGGAGCCCGAACCCCCUCAGAUUUGUUAUUUUACCCCCCAAUUACCCUAUGUUUUUCUAUAUCAACCCCCUCAUACAUGUUUAGUAAUGCCUACUUUUAUUUUGUCAAUAGCUUCAAACUUUAUAUAUAUAGCGUAUUAUAUAAUGAUUUAAUCAUCUUUGAUUUCUUUGUCAUAAAAAAAAGAUCUUUCAUUUCUUUAGUUCUCUACUUUAUGUUCCAAAUAAAUGUUAUUUAAAUAUAUAAAAUAAGUAUUCUGUAUACUACUUUUAACUAUAUUAUCACAAUGAUAUCACUAAUUUUCACUAAUUUUUUGUCAAAAACAAUCAAUAGUUCCCUACAAAAAAACAAUAGUUAUAAUUUUAUAUAUAAAAUAAUAAUUCAUGAAAUAAAAAAAGUUUGCAUCUCUAUAGCACUGACACUUCUAAUCAAACAUGUGUUCGGUGUCCGGUUCUGACACAAUACUGACACAUGUGAUUUACAUUCAAUUUUGAUAUUUUCUUUAAUUACUAUCAACGACGAUGUGUCUAUGUCCUGUCCAAGUGUUAGUGUUUUAUAAGUUUGCACCCCCUAACUCAGGGUCUUGGCAACGCCACUGAUAGUUAGGUAUAAAUUGAUUUAAGAUGUGUUCGAUUUGCUAAAAAAUAAAGAACAAUAUAAGACAAUUUUAUUUGUCCAAUGUUUGAUUUGUAAAACUAUUUUAAGGACAUGACACACCGGAGGUAAGGGACAUGACAAAAGCUCAAAUUUUUAUCUUUCAUUAAACCACAACACAACUUUUCAUCCAAGUACAAAUUGUUUAAUAUACCAAAAUAAUAUUUUUACUAUAAAAUAUCGUAUAAUAUCAAAGAUUUUGUCUUCAGUUGUUUUGUUCACAACUUACUUUUUAGUAGAUCAAUCACACUUUUAUUAUACUUGGCGUGAUCCCCCCCCCCCCAACCCCCCCAUUUAGUUUUGCAUCCGGGGCCCUAAAGUUUUCAGUGUCCGUGACAAAUCAGUAAAAUUGCACCCUUUUAAUUAAUCAAACGUCUUUUUUCUUCCAUUUCUCAUUAUAAAAGAUUCACUCAUAAUCAAGGUUCUAUAAAAAUAUAUUUUCAAUAGAAUUAAUCCAAACAAGUUAAAAAGAAAUAUAUUUAUAUAAUACUAACUACCAAGUAAAAAUAAUAAUUUUGGUGUCCCUAAAAAAUUGGUACCCUAGGCGGACGGCCCUCCCGCCAUGCUCAUGCUCAAGGCCACCCCUGCUAGCACCCGAGUUGUGUUAAGCUCUUCGUUUUCUGAGUCUUCACUUCAGGUUCAUAUCAUGAUUUUAGAGCCGUUGUAGCUUGUUCUUGAUGGGGAAGACACAUCUGUCCCUUGAUAUUAGUAAAUUUAUAUGUGGAACCUUAACUUUUAUUUGGUGGCAAGAUCUUCUUAUCAGCUUGCACUCUGAACGGUGAACUCUUAUCAAUCAUCUAACCUCAUCUGCUUGAUCUCAUCUACUGACUUGGCUAUUUGGGACUGAUCUUCCGACUAUUGAUGUUGGGCAUAUGCACCCACUAUAGAUAUUGUUUCUUUCUACCAUACAAUACAAUUUGACUAUACUUUAUUGCACGUUCUUCAUACAUUUACAUUCUGUACUCAAUACUUAAUAACAGAAGAUGUAUGCUCAGACGAUACGCACUCAGCAGAUGAACAUUAUUAGCGGAGAUUUUUUAAUUUUGGAGAAGUCUCAUUUUAGUCACUCAUAAAAUAUAUAGAACUCAAAUUAUUCUUUUAUUUAUAUGGUCAACUAGAAAAAGAAUUUCCAAAGAUUGAGGAAGGAGAAAAUUAUUAUUGUUUAAAGUCAACGGCGGAGCAGGGUGCCAUGGCAUUCAAAGUUUAAAAAAAAAUCAUUUUUAAUAGUUAUAUAUACACAUUUUUAGCUAAAUGUUAUGUUAUAUUUAACGUUUGCAUUGCAAAUCAUGUAUUUACACUCUAGCAAAGCGGUUAAGUGUCUUGCCUUUCAGCCUUGGGUCCUAUGUUUGAUUCUUUCUUUGUUCAUUUUUAACUUUGACACGUAUUUUUUGUAUUUUUCAAACAAAAAAUGCAAUAAAAACAUUGUAAAAUGCAAGUAUCAAACCAUGGUUAGGAGAGCAACAUAAAAACAAACUAACCACCUAACCACAGCUUUAAUUGUAAUUUAAAAAAAUUCUUGACUCUGCCAUUGGUUUAAAGUAGUAAUAUUAAAUUAUUUUACGAUCUUCUUCAAAGUUAUAACUUAAACUCUUUCCAUUAGCCUUUUAAUCUAUAUUGUAAAUUCAUUUUCAAAAUUAAGGACAUGAAGCCUAUGAGGAAACAGCUUAUGUUGAAAAACUCAGAAGCAAAACGGCAACAUAUGUUUUUUUUUAUUUUAUUUCGAACCACUAUUUUUAAACUCGUCAGCUUGUAUACUUUUGAUUUUUGAAUGUACUUAAACCCCCAUAUGAUGAGGACCAUCUUUAAAUAUCAAAAGCAAGGUUAUUUUGAGUUACAUAAACCCCAUAUGCUUUUGAAUCUACUCAAUCUGUCUUGCUUUGUAAUUCAAUUUUAGAUGGUAUCAUAUAAAAAUGAUAUUAUUUUUUUUGGUUAUAUGUGCACUUUGUAAGAAAUGCAUUGUCUUUCAAUGAAAAGAUGAUAGUUAUUGAGCUAUGUAGCACUAACACUUUAUAAUGAAGCUGUGUCUAGAGUACGACGCCACAGCACCAACACAUGUGAUUGCCACAUUCAAUUACUUCAUUUCUCAAAUUGUUGUCGGUAUAGUUGUGUAUGUGUCGGUGCUUCCCAGUUAUUGAAUUAUCUUUCCCAAACACUACCUACAGGAAGAAUGAGUUAUUCAAUAGCCUCUUUGUAUAUUCCUCUACAUCCAUCCUAUGCCUUAACUUUGAUAAGGAAGUUGCAGAAAUAGUUCAAUAGAUUUCAAAUUAAAACAGUACCUAUCGGAACUAUUUUAGCAAAGCUUAAUUAUUAGGGAAAUGGACAACUCAUGCUGAAGGGUCUAGAGUAACUAGAUAACAGUUGUAAUUUAAUUAGCAAGUGGAAUUACAAAAGAGUUUCAAAGAACAACAAAGCCUAAAGAAUCUGAUAGAAACCUUCGUGAUAAAAUAGAAUUACAAGAGAAUUUCAACAGUGUUACAUUAAAUGCUCUGUUUUAUUAUAUCCAUAUUUAUUGUUUUAAUUGUCAAAAAAUGGUAUCAAGAGCCAGGUUGAACUAAGAUGGCAACAAAUUCAAGCACAGGAGUAACCCAACUUCAGCAAGUCUAAUCAACAAUUUACAAGUUCGAUGGAACUAUGUUUAAAAUCAAUUGGUUAUCAUUAAUAGAAAACGUAAACUACUGAGAAAGUGAGGGAAAGAGUGUAAAUGAUUUGAAUAAUUAUUUCUUGCAUACACUAGGAUUGGUAUUUAUACUAAUAACAAUUAACCUAUCCUUCUAACUGACUUUGCGCAGUUAGGUACAAGUAGUUAUGAUUAGUUAAACUAACUCUAGUUGAUUGGGAUAACUGAAUAACAGAUUGUGGAAUCUGCUAUUCAGGUUUGGUAUACAGAUCGUGGAAUCUAUUAUUCAGGUUUGGUAGGCUACAGCAGGAUGAACUGCAGUUACUCUAUUAGUUAUGGUUUCAGAGAAAGGUUUUGCUGAACCAACAGAAGAAGAAAAAUCAAAGGUAGAUAAAUAAACAGGUCGAAAAGUAUAUUAUACUCAACUAAAAAGUUGUGCUUUUAACAUGUCAAUAUAUGUGGAGCAGCCUGGUCUUGGAAAAAAAUUCAUAUUACAACAGCAAAGGACAAGACAACAGUUUGAAGAAACAUAUUUGUUUCUUCAAUCUGUAUGUAAAGUUAAGUUCCAAAGAGCAUCUCGAUGAUCGGAAAAAGGAGCUGUUGGAAAAGUUGGAGCGUGAGCUGUUUUGAAAUUAAUUUCAAUCAAAUAUUUGUUUGUUCGGUCAAAAUUGUCAGUGUUGUCUAGUCCCCAGUGUUUGCUUUAAUAAUUGUCAGUGUUGUCUAGUCCUCGGUGAUAGUCCUUAGUGUUGUCUAGUCCCCCGUUACUUAUUUCACAUACUAUUUGCUUUAAUAAUUAUGCCUACUGUGUGGCCAUUAUUUCACAUACUAUUUGCUUUAAUAAUUAUCUCCACUGUUUGCUUUAAUACAAUACAAUAAUUUAUUUCAAAUCCGUUAGUGUCCACCACACAGAUAAGUUAUUUGAUCUCAUUCAUAUCUAGUUCCAAUUUCACAAAUCUCAUUCAUAUCUACUUCCAAAAAAACUUUCAAUGGACCCUUUUGAUAUCGAAGCCUACUUCCAAAAACGUGAUGUUGAAGACACUUAUAUCGUCAACCGAUUUAUUCAGCGUCGAAAAAAAUUAGAGGAAGGUAGUGCAUCUCGUACUAGAAAAUAUUUCAAUAGAGAUCAUGUAGCGGCAAACCAAAGACUAAUUGACGACUACUUUGCCAAUGAGCCUACAUACGAUGAUGCAAUGUUUCGUCGUCGGUACCGGAUGCAAAAACAUGUUUUCCUUCGAAUCGUUGGAGACCUUUCAAGUAGUGAUAACUACUUCACCCAACAAGUUGAUGCAGCCAAUAAAAAAGGUAUAUCACCGUUAGCAAAAUGUACCACAGCAAUGCGAAUGUUAGCAUAUGGUGUGGCAGCAGAUGCGGUCGAUGAAUACAUCAAAAUAGGAAGUAGUACAACAUUGGAGUGCUUACUUAGAUUCUGCAAAGGAAUCAUACGAUUGUAUGAGCAAGUGUACUUGAGAGCACCAACCCAAGAUGACCCGCAUAGAAUACAACAUGUUAGUGAAACGCGAGGGUUCCCAUGGAUGAUCGGGAGUAUUGACUGCAUGCACUGGGAGUGGAAAAAUUAUCCUAAAGCAUGGGAAGGGAAGGUCAAUUCACCAGAGGGGAUGAGGGAACCACCACAGUUAUUCUUGAAGUAGUUGCAUCUCAUGAUCUAUGGAUCUGACAUGCCUUUUUCGGAUGUCCGGGAACGUUGAACAAUAUAAACGUUCUAGACCGGUCACCAGUGUUUGAUGAUUUGAAAUAGGGAAAGACUCCAAGGGUGAAUUACUUUGUGAAUCAACGUCCCUAUAAUAUGGCAUAGUGUCUAGCUGAUGGUAUCUACCCUUCUUAUCCAACUUUCGUCAAAUCAAUUAGACUUUCUCAAAGUGAACCCGAUAAGUUAUUUGCAAAACAUCAGGAUGGAUGUUAGAAGGACAUCGAACGUGCUUUUGAAGUGCUUCAAGUUCGAUUUAAAAUCAUCUGUGAACCAGCUCGCUUGUGGGACAUAGCGGAUUUGGGUAUCAUCAUGAGGUCAUGCAUCAUAUUACAUAAUAUGAAUGUUGAGGAUGGACAAGAUAUAUAUGCUCAAAGUUGGACCGAUUUUGAGCAACCUGGGGAAGUGGAUCUAGUACACCGCAACCAUACUCGACCGAGGUGUUACUAGCUUUUGCAAAUCAUGUGCGUGCUAGAUCCCGAGUUGCAUCACGAAUUACAAGUAGAUCUAGUGAAGCACACGUGGACAAAGUUUAGAAUGUAUUUUGAAGAUGAUUUGUAUCGUACUAAAUUGUGUUAACCAAAGCUGAUUCCGGAUGCGUGGAAAAGAAAACAACUGAGCAAACGAUGAGCUUCCGUCUAUUAACCAAAGCAUGGCGGCAACAAAUCCAACCGUUAAACCGCACCGAGUUUUCUUCUUACAUUCUUCAUCGUUCAUUUUCUCGCGUAUCUGAAAGGUUUGUCAUUACUGAAACAAAUCUCAUUUCUCUAAUUAUUUCAUUAUUAUUAUUAUGCUAUCCAAUUUUGAUAAAUGAUCUACUAAUCAGGCCAUCAUUCGGCAUUGCUUUCGACAUCGACGGCGUCAUUCUCCUCGGUAACACCCCCGUUGGUGGCUCUCCGGCCGCAUUGAGAAAAUUAUACAACUAUGAUGGUAAAUAAACAACGAAAAGUAAAUACUCUCUAUCAAUUUUCGCUAUCACUGAGUCAUCCAUCAAUUUUUUUAUCUGUUUAUUUUGUUAGGUACGCUGAAAUUUCCUUACGUUUUUCUCACAAAUGGUGAGUUCUUACUCUUAUUUUUAUUUGUUCUGUUUACUGUUAGUUCCGUGUAAUUAGGUUAAGAUUUUAUGGAUGAUUAUGAAAUUUCAUAUUUGCAUGAAUCUAGUUCAAUCAAUGAUUCAUAUGCAUAGCCAGCAUUAGGUGAAUAAUUUUAAUUUUAUGUUUUACAAAGGUGGUGGCAUUCCUGAAGCUAAAAGAGCCUCCGAGCUUAGUGAACUGUUGGGUUUAAAUGUCUCAGCUUCACAGGUAUGUUAGAAGAUUUUUGUGUUAUCCUCUCAUUAAUCAAGGACACAUUAAUAAAAACAUGAAAAUUCAACUAUUAUAAAAGUGGAUUGCUUAAAAAUUCAACUAUAGGAACAAAAUAUGGAUGAGUUGUUUAAGCAUGAUGUGGCAUAAUGCAAAUGUAUUUCUUAAAAGUUUGCUAUUGGUGAUGCUCUUAGUAAAUUUAAAAUUAUCGAUUUUGGAAAUGCUCAGUAGUAAUAAUCUAUAGUAUGUGAUGACGAUUGUUUCUCUUCUGCUGUAUGAUAGUAGUAAUGUAUAUGCAUGUGGUUAUGUUUUCUGUCUGUUUGCUACAUGCAUCAUGCAUGUCUAUCUCAAAAGUCACAACCAGGGAAUACUUUUUCACAUUGUUGUCCUAAAUUCUUUUUCUGAAAUUGCAGAGAUUCUGCCCUUUAAUGGAAUUUGAUUAUUAUGCAGGUUUUGCAGGGCCAUUCACCAUUUAGACAAUUGGUUAAUAGGUAUAAAUGUGCUUAUCUUAUCUUAUCUCAUCUGACUGUAUAGGAUUAAAUGCUGAAACCAGCAAUUAUUCCGUUGAAUUAUAUUUAUCAUAUAGAAAUUGACUUUUCAGAUUUGAGGAUAAACUCAUUGUUGCUGCGGGAAAAGGGGAACCAGCUUUGGUGAUGUCUGAAUACGGUUUUAAGUAAGGCUUUAAGAUAAUUGGCUUGUCACAUAUUUCACGACUUUAUUGAAUAAUUAAUUUCACAUCAGUGUCAAUGUGUUAUUAUUUUGUUGUUGUUGUUUUUUAUGUUCAGAAAUGUUAUCUCAAUUGAUGCAUAUGCAUCGCGCUUUGAAAACAUUGAUCCAUUGGCACCAUACAAGAAAUGGACAACCAAGUUAGCUACUACUCAGAAUCCAAAGUUUGAUGAGAGUGGUCCACAAAUUGAUGUGUUCUCUGAAAGGGUUCAAGCAGCAUUCAUAGUUAGUGAUCCUGUUGAUUGGAGCAGGGACGUACAGGUAACUGACUACAACAAUCUUACAACUGGUUCCAUAUCAGAUGACUGUCCCUUUUCUUACAAGCUGCUGUCCACAUUACUAAAUUUAGUUUAAUCAUAUUUGAAUUGUAACUUGGCUUCUAUUUCUAAGAGCUGAGAACAAAGAAGAGAGUUCUUUACUUCUUUGGGUUUUCUAAAAGUUCUUAGAUUUACGUUUUAUGAAUCAAACCAAUGAAUCUAUGAACUGAUCAUCACUUCUUAUUUAGGUUCUUUGUGAUAUCUUGAAAACUGGAGGGCUUCCUGGAAGAAAUGUUGGAACACAGCCACACUUAUAUUUUGCAAAUGAUGACCUUGAGUACCAGGUUGGUUGAUGUUUGUUACAGAAAAGUGUUAUGAUACAGAUUAUAUGGAUCCCUUUUAAACUAUCAUACUACUAUACUCACUGACAAAGUUCUACAAAAGGUAGACGAAAUUUCCUUCUGAGCGUCUGGGUAUGGGAGCUUUCAGGAUUGCAUUAGAAUCCAUCUUCAAUAGGUAAGACUGUGUAUUAUCUUGUUGUUCAUGGUAGUUCUCUAGUUCCUUUAAAUUGAAUACUUCAGGUUCAGCACAGAAACAUGACAUGCGUUGGGACAUUGGGCCAUUUACUAGGAUUUUGAUAAAUUCAGUAUCAUAUAUAGUAUUAUAGAUUAGCUGCCACAACAUAUAUUAUCUAUACUAUAUAUUAUACGAGUAUUGUCCCCACAACUUCAUAUAUAUGAGUAGUGUUGUCUCUACAUUUCAAAAAAUUUAGAUGUGUCACCAUAUAUGUGUAAACAUGAGAAGCUGUUUUAUUAUAAUCAAAACUGCAGAUAAGUUCUUUAGUAGGAUGGUGCUGAUUUAAUUCAUAUUUAAGAACAUUCAUCUAUAAUCGUGAAACACUGUAUCCGCAGGACUCAUCAUCAUUCCUUGGAGUACACAUGUUUUGGCAAACCACAUCCAUCUGUAUUCAAGAAUGCAGAAAUUGUGUUACAGAAACAUGUACCACGAGUCGAUGAAGAUUCCUACGAUAUAAAUCAUAAAAAUGCUCAACCUUUUCAAACACUUUACAUGAUUGGAGACAAUCCUGCAGUUGACAUCAGAGGUGCACGACAGGUAUGUCUAUUGGAGUUGGAAUUCACAAGUAUUACGGUACGACAACUAUUUGCCGACUUAUGCUAAUAACAAAAAUAUUGUAUUUCAGACCGGGCAUCCUUGGUUUUCUAUUCUCACAAGAACUGGUGUUUUCAAGGGGAAGGAAAAUCAUGACAAAUUUCCAGCAGAUCUGGUAAUUCCUUGCCAUCCUCUAAAAAAUAAUUCAGAUACUUAUCCUUUUUUCCUCUCUAUUUCUUUUAAGAAAGAAAUCAUGUUUUUGUUCCACUGUUAGUGCCGUGAUGGGAACUAGCCAAUGUUUUCUGAAAUUUGUGGGAAGUUUGUGAUCAAGAUGACACCACCUAUCGUAUAUUGUGCCUCGUGAUGAUUUAAUUUGUGACUAAAUGUUGCCAGUGUUUUAACUCUGUGAUUAAAAUAAGCUUUGCUUCUGCAGGUUGUUGACACUGUAGAAGAAGCCGUGGACUACAUAUUGGCAAAGGAAUGUGCUUAGUUGGUUCGGUCUUCUUUACAUUUAGAAGGCUCUGAUUCUUGGUAGAAAGGGUUCUAAGAGAAGACAUUUCUAAAUUAAAAUUGUGAUUCUGUGAGCAGAAAAACAAUGUAAUAAUUUAUGGCUUAAUCAUGCCAUUCAUUUGACGCACGUAUAAUUGAUUAUUUCCUCAUUUGCUCAUGUUUGUUGUUCUGAUGAGAAAUGAUAAUUUUGAUGUCAAAUACGGUGACAUUUGGUUUUUAUGUGUACUUUUGAAAUUAGUAUAAGUUGUAGGAAGAUAAAAAGUAAGAGAGAUGGAUAAAAACCUACACUGUAAGAUUCGAUUUCUUCAUUUUAAUGUUCAAUUAACACAAUUUUUCUAUUCUGAUAGAGAACUUUAAUUUGGCAGCUUAGUUUAGCUACACUUGGUUUAACUUAGUAGAAAUAACAAUCUUUGGACCGUUAUCUCAUAAAAGAGAAAGAGAAUGUGUUCUUUUACAAUACAACAAAUCAGGAAUUAACACAUAAACACAAAAAAAUAAAAAAAUAAAAAAAUAUUGAGUCCUGGUCUCCUAAGAAUUCUAGAUGUCUCUGAAUCGAUCAGUAUCAAGUCCCAAAAAUGGAUGUCUCUGAAUUUUUCUACCACAUCCCUAUUAUAUAUAUAUAUAUAUAUAUAUAUAUAUAUAUAUAUAUAUAUAUAUAUAUAUAUAUAUAUAUAUAUAUAUAUAAGAGGUCCAGCAAUACCACUGUAAUUACUGAAAGAGAGAGAGACCAAGACUCUCAUUUUUUUUGGAUAUCAAUUGCUUUGUAACAACAUAUUGUCUCUUUCCUUAAUCUUUAUGUAAAAUAACUCAUUCUCUAUUCUGAGACGACAGUCCGUAGAUUGUUAUAAAUAAAUUGUUGUUUCUGUUAAUUUUAUCACUAUAAAAACCAGUUUCUAUCACAUACUUUGACUGAGAUUGUUUUGAACUACUUGGAGCAAAUUUUGGAAAAGUUGUAGCUAUGUUUCAGUAUUCUUGUACAAUACACAUGGGAUUCCUACAAGAUGAGUACUUAACAGUGAGAUAGAAAUGCCAUAUAAAAUGCAGAACUCCUUUCUCACAGAAAGUAAAUAUCAACCGCAAGCCUUAAAUCCAAUCCCACAUUUCAAAUUAGAAUUUGAUCACUUGCUUUGGUUGGCUCCCAAGUUUUCCUAGAGCUUUAUCCAAUGCUGUGUUGAAAUCAUUAAAGGGAGUCAAUUCCAUCCUGCAAAGAAGGGCGGCCAGUUAAUGUUUCAAUAUUUAUGAGCAAUUGAUCAUUUAGAGUGGAUAUAAACCCCUUGCUUAUUUUUCUUGUUCUAUGAUAGGUAUAAGACAUACUUGUAUUUUAACUUUCCAUCUUGUACAAGACCCAAAAGCCUGUCUAUCAUUCUUCUGCCCUCUUCAGCUUUAUCUGUGCUCAACCAAUUCUGCAACCAGAAACCCCUCAAGGAAAGUUCCUGCAAAUAUGUGAUUUAAAACCAUGGUUACAUUUAAUAAACCAGAGCAAUGCUAUUUCAAUUAGAAAGUAUAAGCAUGUGUUAUUAAAAGGUUAUGCUACAAAUAAGUCCCGAUAUUUGUUUUGGACGUCUAAAAGCACCCAGUUUCGGUAAAACAACGCGAUUCGGAGUCGAAAGUUACAUGCCUCAAACAACCAUUUCAUAAUCUUUGCAAGCUCCUGCCCAGAGGCUUUCCCUCCUAAGAUUUCUGCAUUUCACAGCAGUUAAGAAACUUGGCCUCCGUUGAUGGGGUUAUGACUCCCCAACAAGCAAAUUUUGAAAUACACGGGCCUCGUAGACCUCAGUUACCAAUUUUUAUUACGCCAAAAACGCAAACUUUGAAAUACAUGGGCCUCGUAGACCUCGGGUACAAAUUUUAAAUAUACCCAUACAAAUUCUUGCUGAUUUGAUUAUUGGAGUGUCUUUGCAAAUGAUCAUUUCUGCAUCCCCAUCAUACGCGGUCAGUCUCCCAAAAUAAUAACAACUGUUUGAGCAUACAGACCAAGUCUAAUCUCCGCUCAACAGAUAUUAAGAGGUCCUAGGGCUCAUGGACCAACAUGACUGUUUUUUAUUGCCAUUUUUAUGCUCCUUUUUUAUUUUGAUGGAUCAAUGAUCAAUCAAUAUUAAGUUUUGGAGAUACCAUUUAAGACCAAGAUAAAUAAUUAGUAUUCUUAAUUUCAGCACUUCUUUCUGAUCCUUCACACAGAAAAUGCUAUGUAGUUAUUCAAGCAGGCAAGUGAAAAUUUUGUUCACUAAAUGUAAAACCCAUUUUCAGUUUUUCAACCAAACAUUCAAAUAUCUAGGGAUGUUGAUAUCUAUACUUCCCUAGUUCUUCGACAAGCAACACCAUACCACCACAGACGGUUAGGUUCUAUGAAUAUUAAAAGAACCCCAUACCACUACAGAGUCCCAGCACUGCAAAGGGACGGAUAGCAGUGUUGACAAGCAUGACUUCUAUGCCCUGCUAAAAAUAUGGUCAUGCGGGGUAUGGACCUAUGAGAAGGUUUGUGAACUUACAAGUACAGACCUAUUAGAAGGUUUGUUGGUUGACUAACAAGUCACAAGUACUUGUUGAGCUUAAGCUUCAUCCCUAGCCCAAAGUUGAUCGCCUCUAACCUUUCACAAAACCCAGGCUAAACAACCAAGUAUCAAUAUCAUCUAUUUUUACCCAACUUCAGCACUUUCGCAUAAAAUUGAACAAUUUUCAGGGUGUCGCGAUCAAUUAUCUUAACAACUUAAUAACUUGAAAGUUGAAAACUCCUUAAUCUCAAUCACUUCCAAGAUCCAACUAAAGCCCCGUCAUUUAUAUCAAUUGAAGAUGCAAAAUCUUUACUCAGAUAGUCACAAAACUUGCUGGCAAUUGUAACUUGAUUCGACUUUACAUACUAGUGAUUGAAUAUCUCUAUGCUUCAAACUAAUCAUUGCUGACCAAGAUAAAUCAAGAUUUUGACGUCGAAAAUUAUAUAUAGAAAUCAAGACUUUAAUUAAAAAAGGUGUUGCAUAGUAGACUGAAGAUAUCAAUUUUGAGAGCAGAAAAAAAGGAUUGCAAGUUACAGUCUAACCUUAAAUAUGAAGGAUGAAGUUGAUACAGUGACGGGCUUUUUAGACAUUCCACCAUACGUCACCAUAGUUCCUCCUCGUCUGCAAGGCACAAACAUGUCUAAAACUUCAGGAUAAUGGUAUUUAGUAACAAAAGAGAAAGUUUCCAUCAUUAAAGUCUUUACCGAAUAUCCCAUGUCAUACCUUAAAAAUUUGAGAACCAAAGAAGCAGAAUUGCCACCGACACAGUUAAAUCCCAGUGCGGGUUCAGGUAUACCACCCUACCAUGUCAAAUAAUCAUUCAAUUUUAGGAUAGGAGAUAAGAUAACCUUAAAAGUUAAAACAAUGUAGUUGUUUUUCAGCUUUGAUGGCAUCUCAGGAAGAUAGGUACAAAACUUCAACAAUAAAGAUAGAACCACAUGCAUAUUACUUCCCAAAUGCUUAACAAAUUAUGAUAACAGACAUUCAUCUAAAAAUUCAACAUCCAUCUCAUAUCAUAAGUCAUAAAACUAACAAGAAUAAUAAAUCCAAGACAUACCAGGAGACUCUUGACAUUCUUCACUUCCAAUUCACUCUCGGUGAAAACUUCAUCAGCACCCAAAUCCUUAAGUCUUUCUUUUACUUCACCAACCCCAGGCCUAUCAGAAGCAAAAAGAUUAGAAAUUAAAAAAUAAGUUUUUUCACAAAAAAUCUAGUUCAGUUCAAUGAGCUAGAAAAUGGGAACAAGAGCACAGUUUAAAAAACAUUCAGACACAACCAUGCUGGUCACCCCAUUUUGAACAAUAGCAUGCAAAGAACCUUAAAAAGAUCACCUGUCCCGUAUAAUAUUAAUGUUGUGAAUGCCACGAGAUUUUGCAAGCUGAAUGACACACUGACCAACCAUGCUGGUUGCCCCAUUUUGUACAAUAGCAUCUCCUGUUGAAAACAUGAAUACAUAACAUAAGCAUAAACAAAUCCACUCAUGAAUCAACUAUAAAAAACAAGUAUUGCAGCUAAAGAGGCAGUGCCUGAGUUCAAAGUAACGCAGUCUUCAAGCAUUAGAAGAGCAGUUAGAGGAUUAACAGUAAUUGUAGCAGCAUAUUCCAUAGGCACACCCUUGUUUACUUUGUGCCACACAUUCUGAUCCUUCACAAUGUAUGUCUGCCACGUCCCUGGAAAAAUAAAUAAUCAAACUUUCAAAUAUAAUAAUAUUAACAACAAGUGAAUCACUAAUAUGAUGUCGUAAACUAUAGAGCAUAGCAAACAUCUAAAUUAAAUUGUUAAAAUUGGACGACCAUAUCAACUUAAUCUCCCAUAUUAUCAAUAUUCUAAAAUGAUGUAUGACAUUACAAAAUACUAAUCAAAUUCGUCCCUCUGGUAAUAUUUGCAGGAACUAUAACGACAUCAAGUUGGUAAUGUUGUGGAUGUGUUUGAAACUAAUUAAAUAAUAUCUUGGGUAAAGUUGAUAACAAAUCUGAUUAAUACUUGGCAAUUCUAAUGAUCAUUUUAGACUUAUUAAUAACGUGAUUAUAUGAGGAUGGAUUGAUACCAUCUAGAAACUAGCUAGAUUUCAAAAUGGUAACUGAAUUUUAAAAUUCUCAAUGACAUUAGUUUUUGCAAGACAUUUUCAACCAUUAAAUUGACUAACAAGUUGUUUAAAUAAACAAAUUAUUUUGCAAAAAUAUCAUAAGCGCUUAUGAAUUAGAUACUUCAAUUACACAAGAUAAUAUAAAGUCAAAUUAUUUGUGUAUAAUCUAUAAGUUGUUUUCAUAAGCUGAACAUAGCUUAUAAACAAUGUCAUAAUAGUAACAAAUAAAUUAAAAUGAGAGAAAUUGAGGGGGGUACCGAAAGAAGGUGGAGAAGGAAUAACCCAAUCACCGGGAGAGAAACAAGUUACGGCGGAGCCAACGGAGUGAACCUCUCCAACACCUUCGUAACCACCAACUGCAGGUGGUUCCGGCCUCACAGGAUAAACACCUUGUAUUCUAUUAAUAUCGGAAGGGUUAAUUGGAGCUGCUAGCAUCUUGACGCACAGAUCAUUCUCUUUAACUUCCGUCGCCGGAAUGUCGACUAGCUUUGUUACUGCGUCGGGUUGGCCGUGGGAUUCGUAUAUGAUUGCUUUUGACGGUGGUGAUACGGCGGAGGAGAAUGCAUGCGUGUGGGUGUUUAGAAUUCUGCUGCGAAGUGAGGUGAAGUUGAAGAGUGAAGAGGGGGAGGGUUUGUGACUCAGUGAUCGUAACAUUUUCUUUGGUUACUCUGUUUUCAGAUUUCUCCAACUUUCUUGCUUAUGUUUUCAUCUUUUUAUCACUAACUUAAACUUUUACUUUAAACACUUAAUUAAACUUUUUUUUUUUUUUUAUUCAAAUCAAACUUUCAUUUAUUCCCAAAAUAUUUGUAGAAAUAUAGUGAGAAAUGACUAAAUACAUAAACAUUUUAUGAGAUCAUUUUCUUGUUUGGGACCUGGCUCCUUUUAUUCAAAAAAAUAAAAUAAAAUUGGGUAUAUUUCUUAAUCUUUGUAUAAUUUAUUAACUGAUUUAAUUAAAAUAUACUGUUAAUGUUAAGAUUAUUUAUGAAAUGUAAAAUAUUUCUACAUUCUAUACCUUGGCACUUUAAAAUAUUUCCAAUUGGCAAAUCAUAUCCAUAUCUGCAUUUUCCUACUUAAUAUGAUCCAAUGGAAACUUGAGAUUCCACGCAAGAACUUGAUGAUAUUAUCUACAACAUUCAAUAAUUUUCCUUACUUCCGGCACACUUUUCAAACUGGUAAAUUGGUUUUGAUUUGUAGAGGUAAAUAUAGAGUAUAGACCAAACCCACUACAAUAGUGAGCAAAAUAUACUUGGUUUCAUUUAGAAACUUAGGUAAAAUAAAACACCACUUUCAGAAUCAUUCAGUAAAUGAAAAAGAAAAAGAAACUACAAGAUUAAUAAAGCAUGUCAAUAAACCAUUGACAAAAAAAGAAAAGGCAAGCCAAACAUGCCGUCCAAUGUCUUCCAAAAAAUCCUUUAAAACAACAGGAACAUUCAAGUUUCUUCAAGGAUAGUAACAUUUCAAAUUUCCGACAUACCAAAAAAUGACGAUGAUAAUAGCAUCAAAAUCAUCAUCCUCGUGAUCACAAAACUUAUAAAUUCCACGACAAGCCAACAAAUCUUCAUCAUCGAGAUCAAGAUUCAAAUCGAAAGGUUCGUGAAUAAUUUUAUCCCUAAUAUAAAUCUUUGAUCUGAGUAUGCAACCUUUUCCACAAGCUUCCUUCGAAAUCUAAAUUAUAACAUCCAAAAAUGUCAAGAGACUCAAGACGAGGGCAUCCAUCAAGAAUAGCAAGCAAGCCAACAUCACUGAGAGGGUCUCCAUGAAGAACAAGAUGGAGUAGCCCAUGCAUUUUUUUUGCAAUAAUAAAUGCCUUAUCAUCACACGUGAAGUGUUCUCCAUCCGACAUCGCAUAGAAUGUUAGUGAUUUCAACGCAGGACAACUUUGCCCAAUAACUUCAAGAGAUAUAUUAGAUUCUAAGCAUUAUGAAAUGUAAAUCUCCUCUAACAGGGGAAAUUUCUUUACAAAUUCGCACCACCCUUCAUAUGAUAUUCUAUCGCAUGAAUCAAGUUGUAAGCACCUUAAGUUACUUGCCCUAUAAAAUUUAUACGAUGAAAGGAGAAUUUUAUAAAUAUGAUACAUUCAUAAAAUACAAGGCUCCAAAUACAUAAAAAUAAUAACAUUGAUACAUUCAUAAAAUACAUGGCAAUAAAUAUAUAAAAUACAAACGUACCCAAUCCUACUUUCAAACAUGUGCAAAACGAUUGUUGAAUUGUCUUGCCUGGCCAAGUUUGUUUUUGUUUUGAAACAGCAGAGAAGAGUUUCAAUUAGAAAUAAGAGUACAAAGGAUACUCAACCCAUACAACUCGAAGAGGGUUUAUAUGAAGAGCAAUGUUAGCUAGCAGGAUUCAAUAACCCACGACAACAAACGACGUUGAAAUCAACGGAUAGCAUACAAUACAUGGGGGGGGAGAGAAUAAAAGCAAUGUUGCACAUUCUUCAUCCAAGGGUUAUAUUGGUGUCGUGCGUUUUCGUGCUUGUAUUGUUGUCGUGCCACAAACAAUUUUCUUAUAAUGAAUUCUGUGGGAAAAACAAUGUGGAAGAUUUCUCAAUUUUUCCCCUGUAUAUCGCACCCCCAAAAGUCCUCCUCCCCCUCCCCACCAAACAAUGCCUUACGAUCCAAUCCAUAGGAUCUACAUUAUUGUGGCCAAGCAAAUGACAACCAAAGAAAACAAAUAAAUGGAGCCAACUGCACAGCAUUCCUAAAUGCAUAUCAAAGUACCAAUAACUAAACUAAAAAAUAAAUCAACAUUAAGCAACACGAAAUACCAUGAAACAAGCGGUUGUUAACAUGGUGGCCAAUUUAAGAUUGUGGCAGAAAAAUAAAUAUUAAAACUUGCAAAGAAACAAACAUCGUUGAAAACAUAUAGGGUUUCCAUUCCAUUGAUGAAGAAGCUUCUCAUAAUCCCCUUUGCCAAUAAAGAGAUAUUUACCUAUCGAUUAAUGAUAAUAACAAAGUAUAUAACACUAAAAGGAGAGAAUAUGAAAAUAAAUUUGGCAUUACCUACCAGCAAUGUAUUGGAGAAGAUCAUCGGUGGCAAAACAAUAAAUAUCAUUUUUUUCUAAAUGGCCAGAACUUAGAUCAACAGCGUACUGACAAAGGUUAACCAAACAAUCAAGAUUAUGAGUCCCAUGAUCAUCAGAUAAGAAAGAAAAGUUCCCAUGUUAAUCUCGCACCACAUGAAAGGAUCUUUGCAAAUGUUCCACCAAUAAGGACACACAUAGCGUGUUUUUGUUAGAAUUUCGACUGUAUUAAGCCUUUGAAGUAUGUUUGAUGUUAUAUCUUUUGGAAGUUCAACCCAAUUAGGGUUUUUUGUGCUCUCAAAUUUGUGUUUCUUCGCUGGAGAAGAAGACAUUGCGUCUCUCUAGGGUUUUUUAAGUUGAAACAACGAGAAGGAACCUGUGUCACACCUUUUAUGCUUGAGAAUUCUUUUUUUUUUUUUUUGAGAGCUGCUUGAGAAUUUACAUUUUUUUUUGACAAACAUUCUUGAGAAUUCAUGAAACGUUAAUGUUUCUAUAGAUUUGUUUCAAUCUUUCAUGGACAUAAUUUCUUCACCUUAAACUUUUAUCAGAAAUGCUAACGGUGUCACAUUAAAAAUGAAAAUUACAUGUCUGUCAUUUUUAUUUUCUUUGCACAAACGUCAUUUUUGUUAUAUGAUACUAAUAUAAUAAAACUGAUCCCUCUUCUUCUCUUCUCUCGGUGACGGGUCUUGAACCGACUACCUCUAAGUUGUAGGGCAAACCUUACAAUCAAAUGGCUUCUCAGGAGACAUGCAAUAUAAUAAAACUGAUGUCCACCAUGUUUUUUCUAAUAUGUCAUCGGUCGAUCUCUUAAUCUCAUUCAUUUGGAAAAAUAUAUGCUCAUUUUGUAAAUAAAACAAAUGGAUGCUAAAGCCUAAAAAACAUAGGAGUAAACCCUCAUUUUCGUCCUUGAAAGUGACACUCGCUAUCAGACACAUCCCUGAAUCAACGAAAAUUAUUAAAAACUCCUUCAAAGUUAACUCCAUUAAUCAUUUUAAUCCAAAAGGUUAAAUAUCAGUUAAGUGUGAUGAUUUGUCUUGUAACUUUACUGACGUGGCAUCUGACUAGAAAUAUUAUAAUGAUUGAUUGGAUUUUUCCUUUGACAACUUGGCUUUUAUUUUAAUUGACAUUUAUUUAGAAAAUAAAAUAUCAUAAAACAUCAAAAAUUCAUAAGUUAUAGGUAACCUAUUAAACCCAAAAUCAAAACUCAAAAGUCACCACUAUCUUCUCAAAUAACCUAAAUCUUCACAACCUCUCAAACAUAGAAUCCAUGACUUUUCAAUCUUCUUACAAAAACUCUACAAUCAUUUCCUUUAGAUCCAUCUUCUCACCCUCUUAAACCUAGAAUUCAUCAGGAAGAGGAGAUUUUCACAUUCAUAAUUUCUACUCAUAUUUAGAAGAAGACUAAAAUUUGGUACCAUUGUUUUAAUUUAUACUAUCUCCGAUACUUCUUUUAUGAGAUCCUUAUUUCGAAAUUCUCAUAUGGGUUUUGAACUAAUGGUGUUUAGGUCUUUGUUUUUGGUAUCAAAUCUGAAUCUCUUUGAUAGACUUAUGGUUUUGUGGGUUUUGGUUUUGAGCUGACUGAAGGAACUACUGUCACCCCAUUCACUCACCCAUCUUCAUUUUUAAAUUGAAUUUCAUAUUGGAGGAUUUCUGGUUGUUUGUUUCAGGGAGCUUGAACUAUUUCAGGAGUUGUUUGUCUGUUUCUUUUUUUUUUCUCUCGCCAUUUCAGCUUCAAAUUUGCGUUUGAUUUUUCAUUUAGGAAGUGAGUGAGAUCAUUUGUAGUGGAUGUAUGUGUAGCUUCUUGUGGUGUGUCUCAGAAUUAUGUGGUUUGUGUACAUAUGGAGCUACAAAAAUCAUGAAUGUUGUAAUGUUUGUGGUGUGUUAAAGUUGGAAUUGUUUUACAAUUAGGACCCAAAAGUUGUCUUAUGAGAAAAUGAUGAACUUUGAUUUACAUUAUUUACUUUUGUUGUUAAUUUUAUGUGGUUUUUAAAUCGUUCUUCUAUUUGGUUAUGGAGUUUUGGGAAAAUUUAGAAUUUUUUUGUUGAUGAUAGCUUGGGGUUGUUGGAUUAUAGAUUUUGAGUUGGAGAUGAAGAUGAAAAUAAAGAUGAUAAAUCAAUUCAGAUUUUGAUUUUUUGGGGAUUUUAUGGAUUAUUUAUUUUUUGGGGAUUUAGAAUUUAGAGUUUUGAUUUUUUUUGUUGAUUUUGAGUUAUCUGUAUAAAUAUGAAAAAUUCUGGGUAGAGAUAUUGGAGAAUAUGAGUUUGAGUUGUUUUGGAGAAGAAGAAGAAAUUAGAGGUGUUGGAGAAGAUGAAGGUAGUAACAUAAUUAUGGUCAUUUUGGUCCCUCUCGCCUACAUGGACAUCCAUCAAUUUAGUCAUUUGCCUACGUGGAAGGCCAAUACAGCAACUGAAGUGGCAAGUCUAGCGGCCAGAUUAGCAUAGUUAACGCCCAGUUAACGUUUUGGACGUGAAUGACUAACGGAAAAGACAUUGGGGGAGUUUUUAGUUCGUUUCAUUGAUCCAGGGACGUACCUGAUAGCGAGGUACACUUUUAGGGAUCCAAAUGAGGGUUUACUCAAAGAAUGGAUGCUAAGCCUUUUUGAGAACUCUCAUAGCAUAAAUCUAGCGGUUGUUCUUAAUACUAAGUAUGACUGAUGCAUAAUAAUAGGUGGAAAGAAGCAAAUGUUACCACUUACCAUUGAAGCGAGUGGAUGUUAUCGUUAAGAAGAAAUUAAGACUUUGGCUAAGCAAAAAAAUUCAUUAACCCAAUAUAAGAAUAAAUCAUGUGUAAAAUGAAUGAAUGUGACAAAUAUGAGAUGUGUCCAAAUAUAUUACUAGAAGAAAUAUGAUGUUACCACUUAAUUGGAUUUUGGCGUUUUUUGCUAGUGCUGGAUGGUAGGCAACAUCUAUCGUAGAAGCAUGCAUAGUGGGAAAGUUAUUAAGACGUACUCACCAGCUUGAAGACAACAACAUGCUACAAUAUCACCUACUUGAUGUUCAGUGCCGAUCCUAAGCUUCAGCACAAACUUCUUUCUAGUUCUAGUUUGUAGGUCAGUAGUAUGACCCCUAUAUAUGUUUAUAUUAAUCAUUGCAGUAUCUUAAUCCUCUAACUAAAAAUAAAAUGGAAAGUCAAACCCUUAAAGAAAAAGUGAUAAACUUUUAUUUUCAUAGAUCUGGGGAUACGGUACAAUACAAGCAAAAGUUAAUAUUCCAAGUAAACUUAGAAAAAUCGAUAUACCUUGCAAAUACAAAGAGAAAAGGUUACUCAUUAUCAAACUUGUUAUGGGUUUAUGAAGGGUUUUUGUUCACCACAAAUGUUAGUAUAAGUGUUAUCUUGUAGGUAGGGAUUGAUCCUUCCAAAUUAUUUAUGCUUGAUUAACUCUUUAACUCAUUUACUUUGAUCGCAAAAUAAACUUUAUAUUUCUCUUAUGAAGAAAGUUGUAUUUUCAUGGUUUGGAAAUUUCCAAAAUGAUUACAGAAUAAAUUAGCUAUCAUCCUGGUAAGCUUAACUUAGUUGGUAGAAACAAUGCAUAAUAUAUGGAAGGUUCGGGGUUUAAACCCUGACCAUCACAAAAAAAAAAAAAAAAUUAGCCACCGCAAUAUUUCUACAUGUAUAAAAUGGUGAGCUAUAGGUGAUGACUCAUGGUGCGUUUGUUUUAGCUUUAAAAAAAAUAUAUUGUGUUAAAAGAAUCUAGAGAUUUUAAAAAAAAAUCUGAAGCUAUUUUUGUUUGCCUACUAUCCAUAAAAAAUCUAUUUUUUUUUUAAAGAAAAUGAGUUUUGACAUGUACACUUUUUUAUUUACCUCCUUGUUUCUGAAGAAAAAAAAAAUAGAUUUUGAGAAAAGCUAAUCCUAAUAGCUUUUCAUUUUAGGAUCAAAAUAUAUUUUUUUUGAUGAAAUAAUUUUUUUCUGAAAAUCCAAAACAAACACUUAAAAAUAAAAAAAGUGAUUUAAAAAAAAAAAAGAAGAAGAUUUUUUUUGGAAAAAAUCCAAAACAAUUGGGCAUCGAUGAAAUCCCUCAUCAAUAAAAAAUACAUUAUUAUAAUUAGUCAUCCAUAUUUUUUAAAUAAAAACAUAUGCACGUCCCGUGCUCGUCUUUCCUGAUUUGUAUCAUUAUGUCCUCUUCAAAUGGUGUUUUUUUUUUGUUUGUGGUCGGGGUUCGAACUUCAGACUUUGUAUAUAUUAUGCAUUGUCUAUACCAACUGAGCUAAGCUCACGAGACCUUCAAAUGGUGUUUAAUGGUGAAUGUGACAAUAUUAAAAAAUUUCGCUAAGUUAAAAACUAUUUUCCCAAAAUAAAAUAAAAUAAAACGUGCAGGAUGAUAUUGAAAACACAUAAAAGUAUUGGAUUGUUGUAAUUUUCAUGGACCAGUACCGUUGAACGAGGAUUUUUAUAUGGAUUUGUCAUAUUUUUUAAGGAAGGUUCUUAAGUCACUUGAUAUGUCUUAGCGUGGAUCACAUGAUUCACAUAUCAAAAUCAACCACCGUCACCCUCUUCCUAAUGUCUCAUUCUCCCCGCCUCAAAUUAUUUUACUCGAUUUUAUUGACUUUUGUUUUGGAAUGGCUUAUUGACUUUCAAUUAAAUAACAAGCAUGCAUUAUUAAAUAACAUUCCUAUAUUUUUUUUUUAAGAAAACAUUCCUAUAUUAUUAUCUGUAAUUUGAAGACGUACUUAGUGACUCUUGUUCAAAUAGUCGUUUUAGAGAUUUUGGAUGUCACGUUUCAAACUAAAAUAAUGUUCUAUUCAUAUUGUUUUAUAGUAUAUUCUCCUUGUAUUUUUUGUUUGCAUGUUCAAUGAUAAGUAAUCGACAUUAUUUAACAAUUGUUUUCGAUAGAAAUAGAAAGGUAAAAAAUAAAUACAAUAAAAACUGUAUAUUUGAUAGAAAAAACUUUCAUAAUUUCAAUUUUGGAAAACUUCUCUCAAAAGAUAGAAUAGUAACACAACAUAUUGUUAACAUUAUGCAAGUUAUGCGUGUGUGUUAGAAACGUAAUUACAGGUUAAAAUCUUAUUUUUUAGGUGGUGUUCGAAUC